AUGGAAUAUAUGAAACCGUUAUGAUUGUUGAUAACUUAGGAAAUGAUGUUUUGAAUAUUGAUUCUUCCACUAGUAUGGAUAAAGCAUCCUUGUGGCAUUGUCGUCUUGGACAUGUCAACAAGAAACGCAUAGCCCAACUCCAAAAGGAUGGAGUGUUGGAGUCAUUCGACCUUAGGGAAGAUGACACAUGCGAGUCUUGUUUGCUUGGAAAGAUGACUAAGUCACCCUUCACGAGUACAUGUGAAAGGGGCGAGGGUCUAUUGGACCUAAUACAUACCGAUGUAUGUGGACCGUUUAGAUCAACCACGAAGGAUGGGAACCGCUUCUAUGUGACUUUUACCGAUGACUAUAGUAGAUAUGGGUAUAUCUACUUAAUCAAGCAAAAGUCAGAAACCUUUGAAAAGUUCAAAGAGUUCAAGAAUGAAGUGGAGAAUCAAUUGGGCAGGAAAAUCAAGAUGCUUCGAUCCGAUCGAGGAGGAGAGUACCUAAGUCUUGAAUUCCACGAUUAUCUCAAGGAGUGUGGAAUAGUUUCACAAUUGACGCCUCCUAGGACACCGCAGUUGAAUGGUGUGGCAGAAAGGCGUAAUCGAACCUUAUUGGAUAUGGUUCGCUCUAUGAUGAGUCGUGCUUCACUACCUAUCUCUUUUUGGGGGUAUGCCUUAGAGACUGCCGCCCAUAUCCUUAACCGAGUCCCUACUAAGAAGGUUGCCAAAACACCUCACGAGAUGUGGACAGGGAAAGCUCCCUCGUUGGCACAUAUCAAGGUUUGGGGUUGCGAGGCUUUCGUAAGACGAGAUACUCACGACAAGCUUGAACCUCGAAGUGAGCGAUGUAUUUUCAUCGGCUACCCGCAGACAUCCUUUGGAUAUCUCUUCUAUAGACCGAAGGACAAUGUUGUCUUCGUUGCGAGGAGAGGAGUUUUCCGAGAGCGAGAACUCAUAAGCCAAGGAGACAGUGGGAGGCAAAUCGAGCUUGAAGAGAUUCAAGAGUCGAUUGAUGAAGGAACCUCUACCGCUGGCGCUCAACCCGAGGAGGAAACUCCGGUUGAACCAAUUGACGAGUCCUUACCUCUUAGACGUUCCGAAAGAGUUAGAGUUCAACCCCAGUUUUAUGGUUUUCAUAUUACUACCGAAGGGGACACGUAUAUUAGUGAUGGUACACUAAUAAAUCUAGAUGAACCUAAUAGCUAUAAGGAAGCCAUGGCAGGCCCGGAGUCUGCAAAAUGGAAAGAGGCAAUGGACAGCGAGAUCCAAUCCAUGUAUGAUAACCAAGUUUGGAAUUUGGUUGAUAAUGUGCCCGGACGUAAGACCGUUGGGUGCAAAUGGAUCUUCAAGAAGAAGACCGACGUGGAUGGAAAGGUACACACAUAUAAGGCACGAUUGGUUGCGAAGGGCUUUACUCAAACUCCCGGAGUUGACUAUGAUGAGACCUUCUCACCAGUUGCGAAAAUAAAGUCUAUUAGGGUGAUGCUAGCCAUUGCUGCAUUUCAUGAUUAUGAGAUAUGGCAGAUGGAUGUCAAGACCGCUUUCCUUAAUGGAAAGUUGGCUGAGGAUGUUUACAUGGCUCAGCUAGAGGGUUUUGUUGAUCCGAAGCAUCCCAAUAAAGUGUGUAAACUUGAGAAGUCCAUUUAUGGACUUAAGCAAACGUCUCGCAGAUGGAAUCUUUGUUUCGAUGAGUAAGUCAAAGAGUUUGGAUUUGUACGAAGCGAGGAUGAGUCAUGUGUAUAUGUCAAAGCCAGUGGGAGUAUAGUUAGCUUCCUCGUUCUGUAUGUCGAUGACAUAGUACUUAUAGGGAACGAAGUCCCGACACUGCAGGAGGUUAAGUCCUAGCUCGGGAAGUGCUUCGCUAUGAAGGACCUCAGAGAGGCUUCCUAUAUUUUGGGAAUAAGGAUAGUGAGAGAACGAAGUAAGAGACUAAUAGGACUAUGUCAGAACACUUACUUAGAUAAAGUACUAAAACAUUUUAGUAUGGAAAAUUCAAAGAAGGGAGAAUUACCGAUACAAAGUAAUGCCAAGCUGAGUAAGACUCAAAGUUCGAGUACCAAAGCGGAAAUAGCAGAAAUGAGCCGAGUACCAUACGCCCUGAUGUAGCCUUUGCUUUGAGCAUGGUUAGUAGAUAUCAAGGGAACCUUGGCAUAUCUCAUUGGAUUACGGUCAAGAAUAUCCUUAAGUACCUUCGGAGGACGAAGGAAUGUUUUUUAGUUCUCGGGGGGAGUGAUGACUUAAAGGUGCUAGGGUAUAGUGACGCCAGCUUCCAGACUGACAGGGACAACUACCGUUCGCAGUCGGGCUGGGUCUUUACCCUGAAUGGAGGAGCAGUAAUUUCGAAAAGUUCCAAGCAAGAAACUAUAGCUGAUUCAACGUGCGAAUCAGAGUACAUUGCAGCGAGCGAAGCGUCGAAGGAGGCAAUAUGGUUGAAGAAUUUCAUUGGUGAUCUUGGAGUUGUGCCUGUCAUAAAGGAGCCGAUGGAAAUUUUCUUUGAUAAUGAAGGAGCAGUUGCCUUGACCAAGGAACCGAGGGAUCAUGGUAGAUCUCGGCAUAUUGACAGAAAAUAUCACUUUAUUAGACAUCGAGUAGAAGAAGGACACCUCAUGGUUAAGAGGAUAUCAUUAGAAGAUAACCCAGCAGAUCCGCUUACGAAGGGACUGAGCAGGGUUAAGCACUUGCAGCAUGCUAGGAGUAUUGGGCUGAAGGAUGAUAUUAGGUUAGAUUAGAUAGUAUUAGAAACGUGUAAUAGAUAAAUGUAAUUAACAUUUGAUGAUUAAAUAAAGGAGUAUUAUUUAUGAGUAAUAUUACUAUCUUAUGUUAAUUGUUUAACUAUUGUUUCACUUUGCAUGUUUUGACUUCCAGAAUAAUUGAGUUUAUUAAGAAUAAUCAAAUUAUUCAAAUUGUCCACAAUCGUUCAUUUGUUGGAAGUAGGUAUGAAUGAAGAUUGUCAUGAAUUGGUGUGUAGAUUGUCUAAAUGGUAUUAGACAUAGCAAAAGUUUGCUGCAAUGUUCGUGAGUGCUUAUGAACUAGGUUUGAGCAUUGGAACAAACCCGCGCUUGCUGGAAUCACCUUAUGGAAUAUGAUGAAAAGGUUGAUCGCAAGACGAUAAUAUCAUAUGGUCUUAAAACCUAGAUAUAUGGUUUGUUAUUUGUUAAUUGGUUGUACAUUGAUAAUGCGAAACCGCAUCAGUAAAUUGAUGUUAUAAAACGCAUUGUUGUGUAUAGUUGAUUAAUGAAUAAGUAAAUGCAUAUAAGUCGAAGUUUAUCUGUUACUUUUAUCCUAAGAAGGUAAAAGCGAUAUCUCGGCCGCUCGAUGAUUUGAUUUGACUUAUGUGCCGGGCCCGCUCAGAACUAAAUUGAUAUGUUCGAUUAAGUUCUAUGUCGAAUAAAUCUGAGAUCGAGAAACCAACUGCUGGACAAUUAAUUCCAUUAGAACUGUCCGCAUGAUAUCUAAACAGAGGACUGUACGAUCCCUUAUCUAAAGGAUAGAUUGAUAAGAUCAGAGUUUGACAGCGUCUUUGAGAGCUACAAUUGCUAAUCGGAUUAUACCUGUGAAUAUAGUUACUAGACUUAUCCAAGUGGGAGACUGUUGGAAUAGUGUCUAAGGCUGCAACUAUAUUAGGCAAGUAUUUGACCCGAUUGUGCAUGGUCCUUUUGGGUUGCCUUCACCAUAGCAACUUGACAGGAUGAUUUAUAAUGAGAGAAGAAAUAUUAUUAAUAUAUUAUGAGAAUAAUAUAAGGAUUAAUAAUAUUGUUAUUUGAUUAAUAUAAGUCAUAAAUUAAUUAGGAAUUAAUUUGGUGUCUUAAAGAGAUUACUUAAAUAAAGGGCAUAAACUGUCAAUUGUAUGAUAGUUGUAUUUUGGGCUAUAAUCCCUUAUGGAUAAGGGGUGGACGGUUAUGGGGCUUUGCAUAGACCUAGAAUUCGUCCAAGGCUUAUCAUUAGGGGGAUUGGAUUUCUUUGGGCUUAAGUUAUCCAAUUAGGGUUUAAGAGUGAAACCCUAGGAGCCUUAUUAGUAUAAAUAGACCCUAGGGGUCAAGGGAAAUCGGCACUCUUGCUUUAGAAGAAACCCUGGCCGACUUCCUCCUCUCUCCUCUCUUUCUCUAAUCAUCCUCUUGCUAAGUUGGUGUUUGUAAGCCAUUAGAGGAGUGACAAUUGUGACUCUAAGCUCCAAGGAUAAGAAGAUUCAAGCUAGCAACUCAAGGUAAUCUUCUAGAUCUGUUUUUCAUAUAUGAUUUGAAUGUUCUUCAUUAGAUCUAUCAUUCAAAGUCUUGGAUACAUUGUAUGUUUAAUUAUAGAAACCUAGAUCCAAGCAUUAGGGUUUGCAUGUGCACAUAGGAAUGUUCUUAUGGCUCAAACCCAUCGAAGACUUCCUGAACAAAAACCCAGAAUUCGUAAAGGCCUGAACUGCCAAAUUAUGAUUAUACCCUUGGGCUCCGAAACACAAUCGAACACUCGGAUCACUUGAUUUGUAAUACCCACAUCCAAAAAGGGCUAAUUAUAUCUUCCCCCAAGGCUUGAAGCCUUAAGAUAAUUGAUGAUCGGGUAACGGCCCCAAAUAAUGAAGCGAUUUGAAACCGAGUGUUACAAGUAGACUCCAUCAUAGAUUCGAGAACUAUCUAAUGAACUACCAGAUUUUAUUGACGAUGACUUUGUCAGAACGAGUUUCUCACCUAUAUGAGCAAUAGUUCUAUCUGUGAAAAGAACAAAUCCUUUAGGAAGUAUGUCGGUUAUUGGAAAUUCAAUCAACUCAGCAACCAAGAACCUACACCCAUCCGUUAUGAAUUUUUGUACUCACUGUGAAUUACACAAUCUUGUGAGGGAAUUUAUCAAAUGUGAAUGAUUUAUAAAAUAUGAAGGACUCGAUCAAAUGUGGAAGAUUAAGUGAAGACUUCUUCCUGAGAAAUGGAUGUUGUAGUUUUAACAACAAAGGAAAUCUAUUGCUACUACCGGAGAUCCAUCUAGAACUUCUCUAAGAUAGCCUAACUACUAAUUGUAUUGACACCAAAAUGAAACAAAGUCUAACUGGGGAAAAUAUGUAAGAAAUUACAUUCAAGAAUUUGGGACAACUAUUAUGUAACGCACCAAUCCUACAUUUUCAGAAAGAACAGAGGACUUAUUCGUAUACAACGACAUGUUACAUGAAGGAUCGAGGUGCCUUUAGAUGAAUAGAGACAAAUUUCUUGCCUAUGUCUUCUUACAACUCAAGUUGCAUACGAACAACUAAACUAUCCAUGAAGGUGAGCUGGGAGCUAUAGUUUUGCUUUGAAAAGUUAGAGACGUUACAUGAAGGGUACCAACUAUCUCACCUCUAUAGAUCAUAGAGAGUAUUUGUGACAACCCUAUAUUUUUCCAUAAGCAGUGUAACGCUCAAAAGUCAAAAACAACGAAAACUAUUUGGAAUUAACUAAAUUAACCUCAAAAAUAAAGUGUUCAAAUAUCUAACUUGGGAUGCAUCAAAUAUUAGAUACCGUGCCAAGGUUUCCAAAAACGUAAAGAACAUUCAAAACCGGAUUAUAUUGAAGAAAUUAUAAUCAAUCGUAUAUUUACGACACACAGUUAAAACACUAUUUAACGUAAAAAGUGAAAUUUCAAUAAAAUGCAUUUUAGCCUUAAGUAUCUAAACAAAAGAUGUAGAGUUCGUUAAUCUGUAAACAUACAUAAAAAGAUCGCCCAAAUUGGACCUCGUAUGAAGAAGUUACGAAUUUCCUAAGUUUCGUAACAGUAGUAGAGGGCUAAAAACUCGAAUUGAAGAUUGAGUCUUAUUUAGCUAUCGCCACCUAAACGGAAGUUGAAGAUCUCCACAAUAGUAAUAAAAUGAUAAAAAGACAAACGAAAACCGACGUCGAAUAAAGAAACUAUGAAAUUUUAACGGACAUUAGUAGUCCCGGCCUAUUAAAAAUAUAUCACUAAAAAUAAAUUCAAAACUAGCCGACGGAGUCUAAACGAAAGUUGUAGAACAUAAUCUCACCUACGUGUGGAUAUAAAGAACGUGAAAAACGGAUCCCGUACGCGAAAGUUAUUGAAUUUAGAAGAUGGGAGACUGGAGUACGCCCAACGUAAUCCAAGAUUACGCCCAGCGUACUAGACCCAGAGUCGAGUCCCAUCGGCUGCAACUCUACGCCUAGCUAGACCGGAGUCGUAAGCCGUGACGCAUUUUUAUGCUCCGCGUAAUAGAAGUACGCCCCGCGUACCGAGUACGCCCUGUGUACUCCAGUAGUACGCCCCGCGUACGCGGAUCCUCCAGCCUAUAAAUAGAAGGUUUGAGCCACGGGUUUUUGCACACUUUCUCAAACUCCCAGUCACUCUCUCAUACUUUCAAGCUUCAGAGACCAUCUCGACGCCCUCGGUUUCCGUACCCGAGCCCCCGACGAAAGAUCUACGCUACCGAGAUCCCCGAAGAGCCCGAAGACGCAGCUUUCCGCGGUCGAAGUUCUGCUCAACUCUAGCCUCUCUCUCUUCAAACCAAACGAGUGAGUUCAUACCCCUACCUUUCAAUUCUUUUCAUGUUUUAGGGGGGGAAUACAAGUACAUUACAAGUCAAAGUAUUAUUUUAUAAACGUAAAUGUAAUAUCUAUCUUAUAGAGUAUCGAUAUAAACACCUUUAUGUUAAAGGGCUGUUAUAUCACUAAGUUAUUUUUACUAAAUGUAAACAUACUUUCUGAGAAACUAUAAUGAGUAUAGUUAGCAAGUAUAACAUACAUUUUUACAUAUACAUCUUGAAAAACAAAAUACUUUCAAAUGAAGUAAAGUCUUUCUUAUCGUAAAUCUAUUUAUACCCAGCAAUGUGAGAUAUUCAAACUUCAACGUACUCUUAUGUAUGCAUUUCAAGUCCUGUAUUAUAUACCAAAAUCUCUUGGAGGGAGAGCGUGAUACUUGUGUAUAGAUCUAUACGGGAUUGACAACCCCGCACCUAAACUAUUAGCUAUAGUUAGACCGGCAGGUCUGGGGUGACAAAUGUCAUAACACUACAACACCUGAAGAAUGUUGUUACAGGCAGUCAGUGUCAAUAGUAUGGUUAUAAAACUCACAUAAAAGUAUAAAAACAAGUUUGAUUUACGAGAUUCAUAUAUGCAUUCAGUUUUCCACAUUAUUUUUAGCACAAAGUUUAUCAUUAUUAUUCAAGUAUGGAACAUACUAACGCACUCCAACUCUGGAAACUUUUCAAACCAUUUAUAGAAAAUAUUGGAUUUUCUGAAAACCUCGUUCAUCGAUUUACUACCAAAAGGACAUACUUUUCAAUGCAAAACACUUAUGAACUCACCAACUUAAUUGUUGACACUUUUUCGAAACCACUUGUAUUUCUCAGGGAAUCAGUAAUACAGGUAACCACCAGCUUUUGAAGAAGGAACGCUAAGGACGUUUAUCAUUAAACAUUUAUAUCAUCAUAUUGUAAUAUUCUUUUGCAAAUAUGUAUAACGCAACAAUAUACGUUUUUAUUAUAUAUAUGAUGGUUGUGUUACUUUCUUUACAAUAUUCAAUUGUUGUGAUACUACGUGAAGUCAUCCACCCCCGAAUGUUUCCGCCAUUCUGGUUUGGGGGUGUGACAGAUUGGUAUCAGAGCAUUGUUUAUAGUGAACUAAGUAUAUCGAACCACAUAAGAUAUACAAACUAUAAAUGCAAAGGGGACCAAAAACCCUCUGACAAAACGUUUUCAUGAACAAUAUAUUUUCUUUUAAAAAUAUACAUCUUUACUCGCAUGUAUUAGUCUCGUAUCAUGACAAGUUUUCUAAAAAGUAUUAAGGCAAGUUGCGACACUACGAUUGGGCCUCGGGGUAUGUAAUCAGGUCGAGAAUAAAUAUAGCCUGAUCAACUAUAUUUAUCCUAGAUUUGACCAACGUACGUCGAGGAAUGGUCAUAGUGGACAACAAGCCAAAAACUUACCAAAUACAAAUUAUUUUAGAUUCGCCAAUUUGAAAUACUAUAGGAGUAUUAUUAAAAAUAAUUGUACAAUGAAACAUUUGCGCUCCGUAAGGAUAUAGUUAAACGUAGGAAGUCGUUAAAUAGAAAUUUCUUUUCUUAUAAAAUUCUCAUACCUCUAUCCUAGUACAGACAAAUGGCCGGAUUCCAUUUACCGGGAGAUCCCUACUACCCAAACCAAGGCAACGACGGCUGGAUAGAAGAAGACCCGGAGGAAGACCCAGAGGAGAUCGGAGAGGAGGUCGAUGAAGAACUCGAAGAGGAAGUCGAAGUCGGAGAGGAAUUCGAAGUCGACGACGAGGUCUUGGAAAUUACUAGUGGAACAGACUCCGAGCCGGAAGUAAUCGACCCUCCCAUCCCUCAUCCUCCCGAAAUCAGACCAUAUCAACCGGGACCCAUUCCCAUGUGGGGAAGCCACCUCUACUACUGGAGCCGCCAGCAAGGUGUACGCCCUCCCUUCGGCAUGUGUCGAGAUUUUUACAAUGUCAGUGGGGGAGGCUCAGCUGAUCGAGCACUUCCUGUUAUUGUGGGCGCUAUAGCUACCCAGAACUACCAGGCGGACAAGCAAGCAGCCAGAGUUCGCGAGGUCAAUGCUGCUACUCAAGGUAACGCCGCAGACAUCCGCCGUUUGGAAGGACUACAUGAGAAUACCCAAAUCUACACAGGGACGCUUCAGAAUCAAAUGAUAACGGCACUAGCAGAAAUAAGAGAGAUGAAGGAACAACAAGCAGAUCUCGAGAGGCGCCUGAUGGGAGUCAAACAGUCGGAUGCCGAAUCUAGCUCCAAACGUGCAACACGCCGCAAGUAGAGCUUGCUCAAACCCCAACAAUUUUGUUAUAAAAUAGGACUUCGGAUAAAAGUUUUUUUCCCUUAUUUUCCUUUUGUAUCUGUAAUUGGAGACCUCUAGGUAGGUCAAAUCUUUCCAAAUAAGAAGCGUAAUGUAACACACCUCAGGUGUGAACUAUAUAUAUAAAUAUGAAGUACUUCUUUGUAUACCCCUCGGAACUUAUGGGAUUAACUAAAAUUACUAUGCCUACCUUGAAAUCAUCAACUAAAGUUAAAACAAAUUACAAGAUUCAACUAACACACGAUUGUCAAAACACUAGAAACUUAUAGUAUUCAUUCUUAUUUUUCUCUACCAGAACAUGCCUCCCCGUAGAUCAACACGCAGAAACUCAACUUCAACACCACCUCCACCACCUCCUCCAAUUAUGGAUGCCGUUAUGUUCCAAACUGCUGUAACCGCUGCUGUAACCGCAGCGAUGGCUCAAAUGAGCAACAACGGAUCGGGAGGAGGAACAAACAGCUUUACAAAUGGCCAAGGUCAAGGCCGUUCAGGGGUAUGCACUUACAAAGACUUCACCAACGGAAAACCUAUUCCCUUUUAUGGGACUGGGGGAGUAUUGGCUCUAUCUCAAUGGAUAGAGAAAACGGAAGCUGUAUUCGAAAUCUGCGCAUGCCCUGAAGAAAGCAAAGUAAAGUUUGCUGCUUUUACUUUCUCUGAACGCGCCCUGACAUGGUGGAACGGCCACGUCAAGACACUAACCCUAGUGGUGGCGAACUCCAUGGGUUGGGAAAACUUGAAACGAAUGCUCCUUCGAGAGUACUGCCCAAGAGGCGAGAUUCAGAAGCUUGAACAGGAACUGUGGGGCCUUUCGAUGGUAGGCUCGGACAUCGCAGGUUACACCAACAGGUUCAGUGAUUUAAUAACACUUUGCCCAGGAAUGUUGAUCCUGGAAAGCCAAAAGGUCGAGAGAUACAUCUGGGGACUAUCACCCCAACUUCGAGGAAGUGUGUUAGCUUCCAAACCCAUGACCUUCGACAGCGCCAAGGAACUGGCGCAAUCUCUCGUUGAUCAUGGUGUCUGUCAAGGAGUCACAGCUAUCAUGGCUGAACCAACCAAGGGGAACAUCAAAAACGAGAUCAAUGCCCACAACAACAACAAGAAGAAAUUCUGGAACAAGAGAAAGGGGCAAACUUCGCAAGAACCUUCAAAGAAACAAAUGGUUGCGGUUCAUGCUGCUACUGCUCCCACCACAACUCCUGCUACCCCUGCGCCAACAAAACCAUAUGCGGGGAACCUGCCCAAGUGCAGCAAAUGCAACUACCAUCACCACGGUAAUUGCCGCGAGAUGCACUGUAAGAACUGCGACAGGAAAGGGCACACAGCCCGUUUCUGUAAGGCACCAGCGCGACCAGUCACUCAAGUUCCUGGUACUGGGAUAAGCCAGGCAUGUUAUGGGUGUGGAGAAACUGGGCACUUCAAGAGGGACUGCCCCAAGACAAGGAAUGUUGGCGGUGUUGGGAGAGUGCUGGCAAUAGGUCAAAAUGAAGCAAUAGCCGACCCAACGGUGGUUACGGGUACGUUUCUCCUCAACAACAUUUAUGCAUGCAUACUCUUUGACUGCGGUGCGGAGAGAAGUUUUGUGAGUCAUAAAUUCAAACACUUACUUAAUCAAAGACCCCAACCACUCAAUAAAAUAUUCACUGUAGAAAUGGCUAACGGUAAAACGGAAAGCACAAGCGAUAUGUACGUAGGGUGCACAUUAAAUUUAAACGAACACUUAUUUCAAAUCGACCUAAUGCCCAUUUCGAUAAGAAGUUUCGAUGUCAUCAUCGGUAUGGACUGGUUGAGCCUUCACCAUGCCGAUAUACUUUGUCACGAAAGGGCCGCUCGCCUCAAUCUGCCAAACGGCGAAACCCUUGUCAUUUAUGGUGACAAACCUAGUUCAAGUUUACAAAUCAUCUCCUGUGUUAAGGAACAAAAAUAUCUCCGUAAGGAAUACCAUGCCUUUAUAGCCCACGUAGUAGACCAGAAACAAGAACCAAAGAACAUUAAAGACAUUUCGGAAGUCUGCAACUUCCCAGAUAUUUUCCCAGAAGAUCUUCCAGGAAUUCCACCAGAGCGCCAAGUUGAGUUCAGAAUCGACUUAAUCCCCGGAGCUACCCCAGUAGCAAAGCCGCCUUACCGUUUAGCCCCAGCCGAGAUGCAGGAACUGUCCAGUCAAUUAAACGAGCUGCUGAUUAGGGGAUUUAUCAGACCGAGCUUCUCACCAUGGGGAGCACCAGUCCUAUUCGUGAAAAAGAAGGACGGAUCCUUUCGCAUGUGCAUCGAUUAUCGGGAGCUGAACAAACUCACGAUCAAGAAUCGAUAUCCCCUACCGUGCAUAGACGAUCUGUUCGACCAACUGCAGGGAGCAAGCUACUUCUCAAAGAUUGAUCUAAGAUCUGGUUAUCACCAACUGCGAGUACUGGAAGGAGACAUCCCAAAAACGGCUUUCCGAACACGUUAUGGUCGCUACGAGUUUGUAGUAAUGCCCUUCGGAUUGACAAAUGCUCCAUCGGUGUUCAUGGACUUGAUGAACCGAGUAUGUCAUCCCUUCCUGGAUAAAUUCGUGAUCGUGUUCAUAGAUGAUAUACUCAUCUAUUCCAGAAGCUAGGAAGAACACAGCCAACACCUCCGCCAAGUUUUGGAAACGUUGAGGGCAGAGAAGCUUUACGCAAAAUUUUCCAAGUGCGAAUUUUGGAUUCGGAAAGUGGAUUUCCUAGGACAUCUAGUAAGCAAGGAGGGGAUACACGUGGAUCCUUCUAAGAUCAAGGCAAUAGAAAGUUGGACGACUCCAAGGACCCCAACAGAAAUCUGGCAAUUUUUGGGACUCGCCGAGUAUUACCGAAGGUUCAUAUAGAACUUUUCGAAGAUUGCCAAACCACUUACCACCCUAACUCAGAAGAGUGUGACCUUUGACUGGGGAGAAAAACCAGACGCCGCGUUUCAAACGCUAAAACGAGCCUUAUUUAGUGUGCCCAUCAUAACCUUGCCAAAAGGAACGGAGGACUUCGUGGUCUAUUGCGAUGCAUCAAACCAAAGACUUGGGUGUGUCCUGAUGCAACGAGGGAAGGUCAUCGCCUACGCCUCAAGGCAACUAAAGACGCACGAAGUGACCUACACAACGCACGAUAUUGAGCUAGGAGCAGUCAUCUUCGCUCUAAAGAUAUGGAGGCACUAUCUCUACGUCACGAAAUGUACGAUCUUCACCGACCAUAAAAGCCUCCAACAUAUCCUCAACCAGAAAGAACUCAACAUGAGACAAAGACGGUGGGUAGAACUACUAAAUGAUUAUGAAUGCGAGAUUCGAUAUCAUCCCGGAAAGGCUAACGUGGUGGCCGAUGCACUCAGCCGGAAGGAAUACUCGGGCCGCAGAGUGAAGUCUUUAACCAUGACAAUCCAUUCACACCUGUCCACACAAAUCAAGGAAGCCCAGAUAGAAGCCUUAACAUCUGGAAAUGUGGCAGGGGAAGCCUUAAGGGGAAUGGAUAAGAAGUUUGAGGUCAAGAAUGAUGGAGUUCAUUACUUCAUGGAUCGGAUCUGGACGCCGAAGUUUGGCGGAUUCAGAGAAGUCGUCAUGAACGAAGCCCAUAAAACACGAUACUCCAUAUACCCCGGCUCCGAUAAGAUGUAUCUCGACCUCAAGAAGUUGUACUGGUGGCCAAACAUGAAAGCUGAAAUUGCUACCUACGUGAGUAAAUGUCUGACGUGCGCCAAGGUCAAGGUAGAAUGCCAAAAGCCCUCGGGAUUGUUGCAACAACCAGAAAUACCCGAAUGGAAGUGGGAACGUAUAACCAUGGAUUUCAUAACCAAACUACCCAGAACGGUAAGCGGACUCGACACUAUCUGGGUGGUUGUCGACAGGUUAACUAAAUUAGCGCACUUCCUACCGAUCAAAGAGACGGAUAAAUUAGAGAAGCUAACUAGGACAUACCUCAGAGAAAUUGUACGACUACAUGGUGUGCCCAUAUCCAUUAUCUUGGACCGAGAUAGUAGGUUCACCUCAAGGUUCUAGCAGGCACUAUAAAAAUCUCUAGGGACAAGACUGGACAUGAGUACUGCUUAUCACCCACAAACCGACGGCCAGAGCGAGAGGACCAUACAAACCCUAGAAGAUAUGCUGAGAGCUUGCGUAAUCGAUUUUGGCAAGGCAUGGGACACACAUCUACCUUUCUUCGAGUUCUCGUACAAUAAUAGAUACCACACCAGUAUCAAAGCUGCCCCCUUCGAAGCCCUCUAUGGCCACAAAUGCAGGUCGCCUCUGUGUUGGGCCAAAGUGGGGGACACACAACUAGCAAAAGGACAAGCAACAGACAACACGCUCACUGGACCAGAAAUCAUAAAGGAAACUACGGAGAAGAUUGUUCAGAUACGGGAACGUCUAAAAGCAUCAAGGGACAGACAAAAGAGUUACGCAGAUAAAAGACGGAAACCCUUGGAAUUCUAGGUUGGAGAUCGAUUCCUACUAAAGGUCUCGCCUUGGAAGCGAUUAAUACGCUUCGGGAAGCGCGGGAAACUGAACCCAAGAUACAUCGGACCAUUCGAGAUCCUUGCCAGGAUCGGUCCAGUGGCUUACAAACUUAGAUUACCUCAGGAGCUCCACAACGCACACCCUACCUUUCACGUAUCAAACCUAAAGAAGUGCUUGUCCGAUGAGACCCUUGUCAUCCCUCUAGACAAAAUUGCAAUAAAUGAAAAUCUCCACUUUGUAGAGGAACCAAUAGAGAUCAUGGAUCGAGAAAUAAAAAGGACUAAACAAAGCCGCAUACCUAUUGUAAAGGUCCGCUGGAACGCCAAGCGAGGACCNCUGGGAACGCGAGGAUCAGAUGAACCAAAAGUACCCGCAUCUUUUUCCUAACCUGUAAACUCUAUCUUAGAUUAAAUUUUGGGACGAAAUUCCCUUAACGAGGGGAUGAUGUGACAACCCUAUAUUUUUCCAUAAGCAGCGUAACGCUCAAAAGUCAAAAACAACGAAAACUAUUUGGAAUCAACUAAAUUAACCUCAAAAAUAAAGUGUUCAAAUAUCUAAGUUGGGAUGCAUCAAAUAUUAGAUACCGUGCCAAGGUUUCCAAAAAAAUAAAGAAUGUUCAAAACCGGGUUAUAUUGAAGAAAUUAUAACCAAUCGUAUAUUUACGACACACCGUUAAAACGCUAUUUAAUGUAAAAAGUGAAAUUUCAAUAAAAUGCAUUUUAGCCUUAAGUAUCUAAACAAAAGAUGUAGAGUUCGUUAAUCUGUAAACAUACAUAAAAAUAUCGCCCAAAUUGGACCUAGUAUGAAGAAGUUACCAAUUUCCUAAGUUUCGUAACAGUAGUAGAGGGCUAAAAACUCGAAUUGAAGAAUGAGUGUUAUUUAGCUAUCACCACCUAAACGGAAGUUGAAGAUCUCCACAUUAGUAAUAAAAUGAUAAAAAGACAAACGAAAACCGACGUCGAAUAAAGAAACUAUGAACUUUUAACGGACUUUAGUAGUCCCGGCCUAUUAAAAAUAUAUCACUAAAAAUAAAGUCAAAAAUAGCCGACGGAGUCUAAAUGAAAGUUGUAGAGCAUAAUCUCACCUAUGCGUGGAUAUAAAGAACGCGAAAAACGGAGCCCGUACGCGAAAGUUACGGAAUUUAGAAGAUGGGAGACUGGAGUACGCCCAGCGUAAUCCAAGAUUCCGCCCAGCGUACUAGACCCAGAGUCGAGUCCCAUCGGCUGCAACUCUAUGCCUAGCUAGACUGGAGUCGUAAGCCGUGACGUAUUUUUACGCUCCGCGUAACAGAAGUACACCCCGCGUACCGAGUACGCCCUGCGUACUCCGGUAGUACGCCCCGCGUACGCGGAUCCUCCAGCCUAUAAAUAGAAGGUUUGAGCCACGGGUUUUUGCACACUUUCUCAAACUCCCAGUCACUCUCUCAUACUUUCAAGCUUCAGAGACCAUCUCGACGCCCUCGGUUUCCGUACCCGAGCCCCCGACGAAAGAUCUACGCUACCGAGAUCCCCGAAGAGCCCGAAGGCGCAACUUUCCGCGGUCGAAGUUCUGCUCAACUCUAGCCUCUCUCUCUUCAAACCAAACGNUUUUCAUGUUUUCUUAAGUUUUAAAGGGGGGGGGGGGAAUACAAGUACAUUACAAGUCAAAGUAUCAUUUUAUAAACAUAAAUGUAAUAUCUAUCUUAUAGAGUAUCGAUACAAACACCUUUAUGUUAAAGGGUUGUUAUAUCACUAAGUUAUUUUUACUAAAUGGAAACAUAUUUUUUGAGAAACUAUAAUGAGUAUAGUUAGCAAGUAUAACAUACAUUUUUACAUAUACAUCUUGAAAAACGAAAUACUUUCAAAUGAAGUAAAGUCUUUCUUAUCGUAAAUCUAUUUAUACCCAGCAAUGUGAGAUAUUCAAACUUCAACGUACUCUUAUGUAUGCAUUUCAAGUCCUGAAUUAUAUACCAAAAUCUCUUGGAGGGAGAGCGUGAUACUUGUGUAUAGAUCUAUACGGGAUUGACAACCCCGCACCUAAACUAUUAGCUAUAGUUAGACCUGCAGGUCUGGGGUGACAAAUGUCAUAACACUACAACACCUGAAGAAUGUUGUUACAGGCAAUCAGUGUCAAUAGUAUGGUUAUAAAACUCAUAUAAAAGUAUAAAAACAAGUUUGAUUUACGAGAUUCAUAUAUGCAUUCAGUUUUUCCACGUUAUUUUUAGCACUAAGUUUAUCAUUAUUAUUCAAGUAUGAAACACACUAACGCAGUCCAAUUCUGGGAACUUUUCAAACCAUUUAUAGAAAAUAUUGGAUUUUCUGAAAACCUCGUUCAUCGAUUUACUACCAAAAGGCAUACUUUUCAAUGCAAAACACUUAUGAACUCACCAACUUAAUUGUUGACACUUUUUCGAAACCACUUGUAUUUCUCAGGAAAUCAGUAAUACAGGUAACUACCAGCUUUUGAAGAAGGAACGCUAAGGACGUUAUUAUUAAAAAUUUAUAUCAUCAUAUUGUAAUAUUCUUUUGCUAAUAUGUAUAAACGCAACAAUAUACGUUUUCAUUAUAUAUAUGAUGGUUGUGUUACUUUCUUUACAAUAUUCAAUUGUUGUGAUACUACGUGAAGUCAUCCACCCUCGAAUGUUUCCGCCAUUCUGGUUUGGGGGUGUGACAGUAUUCAACACCUCUUCAAAAGACAAAAACUCAACAUGAUGUAAAAUGAUGAGUUGAUUUGUUAAACGAUUACGAAUGUGAGAUUUGUUAUCAUCAUGACAUGUGAAAUUUGUUAACAUUAUGAUGAGUCUAACAUAGUAGCAGAGGUCUUAAACUGAAAGGAACACAUUGAAUCUCGUUGAGUACGAGCAUUAACUAUGACCAUCCAUUUAAACCUUAACUCUCAAAUUCAAGAAUUAAUUCGAGAAUCCAAUAGAGAAAAUAUUUGUAAGUAAAUCUUAGCAAGGAAUGGAUAAACAAGUCAAGCUUAGGGAUGACAGGAUGUGAUACUUUAUGAAACAAAUCUGGAUGCCUAAGUAUAGUAAUCAUGAGAACAUAGUCUUGGACAAGCUCACAGAUUAAAAUAUUAUAUUUAUCCAGGCUCUGACCAAAUGUUCAUAGAUUUGAAGGAAACAUAAAUGGUGAACAUUGAUGAAAGCAAAGAUUACCAUUGAGUAGGAAAAUAUCAAACUUGUACUAAAGGUAGAACAUCAGAAACACUUAGGAUCAUUGUACUAAUCAGAAAUACCCGAUUAAAAGUGGGACCGAAUAUCUAUGGACUUCAUACCUAAACUAUCCAAGAAGCCUAGUGGUUUCUUUACUAUUCGGGUAGUAGCUAAUAGACUGAAUAAGUUCACCCACUUUCCACUAAUCAAAGAAACAGACGAAAUGGAAAAGUUGAUCAGGACUCAUGCCGAGGAAAUAGUCAGACUGCAAGGGAUUCCGAUCUCUAUCAUCUCUCACUAAGAUAGUGUGGAUUCACCUAGCAAUUUUGAAAACCAUUAAAACUCCUUAGGGACACGUCUGAGAAUAAGCACAACUUACUAUUCUCAAUGGUCAAAACUGUUCGAACGUUGGAAGAAAUGCUAUGAGCCCACAUGAUAGACUUUGUAAAAUACAUGGAAUACUCAUUUCCGUUGAUUAAGUUUCUCCUACAACAAUGAUAGUUAUGAUGGGUUUUGAGCAUUACAUAAAUCCUAUGGUGCACAUGCAAAACCCUAAAACUUUGGAUCUAGGUUUAUCUAAAUGUACAUGCAAAUUAUCCAAAGCUCAUAAACCCUUGAUCUAACAUACAAUAAUCGAAAUCACAUAUGAAAAUAGGGUUUAGAUCUUACCUUGAUUGUUAUGUAGCAAUAACAAUCUCAAAUCCUCUUAAUCUUGACUUCUGAAAGAUUAGUGCCUCAAAUGUUUCACCUCUAAUGGAUUCACAAACACCAUGAGCAACAAAAUGAACAAAGAAAAGUAGGAGAAGGCACAAAACGUCCAAGAACCCUUAGGGAUCACUUCACCACAUUUUUGGGGCCUUAGGGGUUCCUUAUAUAGGUAGGCUAUUAGGGUUUUCAACUAGGAAACCCUAAUUUGACUGCUUAGGCCCUAAGCAGCCCAUCGACUCCUUCCUUAGAAGCCUUGGACGAAUUCUAAUGGGUUUCCCCAUAGAUUUCGUCUACUCUAAAUUCUAUUGAGUCCAUUAGCCCAAUAUUCAACUAUCACACAAUUGAUAGUCUAGUCCCCUUUAUUUAAUUAAUGUCUUUUAGCCACAAAAUUAAUUCUUAUUAAUUCUCGACUAAUAUUAAUUAAACAAUACGAUUUCUCUUUUAAUAUAUUAUUCAUAUAAUAUAUUAAUAAAUCAUAAUUAAUCCUCUUUCUCCUUACUUCAUCCUAUCAAUUGUUAUUGUGAAGGCAACCCAAAAGGACCAUGCUCACAAUCGGUUCAAGUACAUACCCAAAUAGUUAGGGGCUUAGACACCUAAUCCAACAAGUUAUUACCCCCGCAUCAAGGCCAUACAGUUUGAGGUUUCAUAUAGAUGAAAACACUAAUCCUCAAUAUGAUGAAAAAUGAUUAGAGAUACGAAAAUGAAUAAAGCACAUACAGAUGAUACGUUGCAUUCUGACCCAAGACUCACUCAUGAGAUUAUAGCAAAGAUUCUAUGAACCUAAGAAUGAUUACAGACUGUACACUAACGACAAGAAAGUUAUGUUAACAAAAUACAUAAGUCUCUCAACAUCAUUUUAUCAAUUAGAAAUAUCCAUGUAAAAGUGGGAAUGAAUGUUAAUGGACUUCAUACCUAAACUACCCAAGAAGCCUAGUGGUUUCGUUACUAUUAGGGCAGUAGCUAAUAGAUUGAAUAAGUCUGCUCAGUUUCCACUAAUCAAAGAAAUGGACGAAAUGGAAAAGUAGAUCAGGACUCACGUCGAGGAAAUAGUCAAACUGCAAUGGGGAAAGUAUUGUCUUAUAUAGCCCUCUUGAAACCUAGGGUUUGAGAUUUUGAUGUUUUGGGUGGUCUUAACGGAUAAAGUUGGAUAUGUUAUUCUUCUCGACCUGGUUUCGGACAUAAUCUGAGCUUUAGAGUUCUUAGUAUCGAAGAAAACAACUUAACCCAUUAAGCUAAUGAAAACCUAGUGCCCACAGCAUGGAAUUAGGUCCCCACAGUGUGCUAAUGGGGAAAAUCAUGACAAACUAUUCACUAGAGGGCCAUGCUGUGGCCAUAGGUUUCCAUGACAUGGCGGUUUACUAAACUCAACAUUGACUGUUGACUUUGAUCGUUGACUUUUGACUUGAGUUAACUUUUGGUCAAGUACCUAUUUUGGAGCAAGAGCUAAUGGUUUAUAUGGUUUUACUGAAUAGGUGGUGUGUAGCAGCGGUAUUCUGUUAGCGAGAGAAAUAGUAGUUCAACAUUAAUAUAUAUAUAUAUAUNUUUGUGGUAUUUUGGGGAAGCUCACUAAGCUUUGUGCUUACAGUUAUGUGUAACGCUCGAAAUUUCCAAGGUAUUUAUUUAAAUUUUGGUUAUUUAAUUAUUAAGAGUUAAGCCUUGAUUUUGUUGGUUCUUUUUAUAUUAGGCUUAGUGUGUGCAACACGUGGGGUGUAUCACUUAUGUACGUUGGACGUACUGAUGUAGAUUGGACGCGCGUGCCAUGCACGUACGCGCUGCAUACAAGGUAGUAGGCGCAACGUACAUGUCCAUACCCCAAAACCCUAAUAUUUAGGGUUUGAGCACUAUUUAAAAAACAUUAUGCCCUAAGGAUAUUCUCUAUCAGCCUCCCUAUUGUCUCUAAACAGCCUCCACGAAACCCUCACCUCAUUGUUCUGUGUUCUUGAGCUUGGAAGGUCUUUUGAGUGCAUUUUGGUGUGUUUUGUCCCAUUUUCAAGAAAGAGAUGGUUGGAGCAAGGUGGUGGUUCAAGGUGAAGCUUGUAGAUCCGGAUUAUCUGCUCCAUUUUGAGCUUGUGCAAGGUAUAAAGUCGUGAUCUUAAUCUUUAGAAUCUUAGAUCUCCAUGUUUUAGCUUUUGCACCCCUUUUUGGUCCCAUUGAUGAACUCUUGUGGAUUAUUUCCUUUUCUGAAGCUUCUAGUUGCUACUCUUGGUGUUUUUUGGGUCCUAGAGUCAUAAAUUUUCUACAUUUGAAGCUUUAAUCCAACCAUGCAUGAGUAAUGGGCAUUUUUAUGGAAGCUUUAAUCCAACCAUGCAGCGUGUACGCUUAGCGUACAACUGAGUACGCCCCUCGUACUCAGGAAGUUUGGGCUUUGCAUUAUUUGGGCCACAUUCAUGGACUUUGUUGAUUUGGACCUUUAGGGCCAUCUAGAAUUAAGCUUUUGGAUUAAGGAAUCUUAGUGGGCUUUAGGGUAAGGCCCAUUUGGGGAUUUGGACCCAAUUUGGAAAAUUGGGCUAUAAGUGGGCCUUUGUGGAUCUAUUAGUUUUGGGCCUUAUUGGUUUAUAUAUUUAGGCCUUUGUUUUGGAUCAAGCUAAGCCAAGGGUAAGAUGGUCAUUUUACCCCAAGUAUGGAUUAUUGAUUAUAUUUUGGAACCCAAGUGUUCAUUGGGUGUUAUUUUGUACUUAUAACUCGGGGAGUCAUCAGGGCAGCAGCUACGAAUUUCUUUUAGUGAGAUUUAGAAUUCGAGGUAAGUUUCCUUACUAGGAUUAGUGGGUUUAAGGCACCAAUGUCGGUCCUUAUUAAUUAUGUUAGGAUGCUAGGAGUCUGUGUGACCCUUGCAUGUGUUAUGUGUUGUUAUGUAUAUCGGACGGGGCUCAAUGCCAGGUGAGGCCUGAGGACUGGAACAUAUGCUAGUGUUUAUGAUCAUUAUAUGUGUUAACAUGAUUAUGUGAUAUUGAUUGUAUGUGUAUAGAGGGUGAGGCUCAGUGACAGGCGAGGCCUGUAACAGAUCUGUAUAAUGAGAGGAGCUCGAUGUCGGGUGGGGCCCAAUGACGGGCGAUGCCAGAUGUCGGGUGGGGGCUCAUUAUGUGAUUUAUUAUGUAUGGUAUGGGGUAGCUUGGGAAACUCACUAAGCUUUCUGCUUACGUUUUUCAUUUUAUGUUUCAGGUACUUCUAGUGGCAAGGGGAAGAGCUCGGGUUGACUGCAUUACACACACCAUAUGGAUUCUGUUUAUGAGGCACAUUCUGAUUUUCUUGAUUUUUGACAUACUUAUUUUAUUUAGGUUGUAUAAACAAUGAUUUGAAAUACUGUUUUCACUUGAAUGAAAAAUGAAAAUUUUGGGUCGUAUUUUUAGGUUGUUUCAAGUUGGUAUCAGAGCCUUGGUUUGAGGGAUUUAGGCAUACUCUCGGCUGUGUUUGAAUUCAAACUGAGGAUUUGGUAAAGUUUUUCCAAAAGAAAAAUAUAUAUAAGAAAAAGGGUUUUCUAAAAUAAAAAAGGUGUGGUGCAUGCAAUCAGCCGAGCUCAAGUAAGUUUUUGCAAAUUACCCAUACAUGUUAUUUGAUAUGCUUUGAUCUGUGAAUUUGUGAACCACAUGCUAGUUAGGGCUAAGGAUCUGCUUAGUUUUUGUAUGAUAGAAUGCUAGGAGAGAUGUCUUUGUAUGCCUGUUGUAUGAUGUUUUAGACUUGCAUGCUAGUGCUGAUCAGUCAGUCAUAGGAUGACCUAAUUAAGUUAUGCUUAGUUCUGAUACUCAAUGCUCGAAUGUUGCUUACUUUGUGCUUCGGGAGUUCUAACUAGCUUCAGCUAACUAGUAAAUGAAUAUGCUAAGUUACAUAUUAUGGGAACUAAAUAAUUUUAGAAGGUAAGGUUUUAACUUUAUUGCGCAGCUCUUGUUUGAGUCCAACCGUUGUAGUGUGAGACCUCUCCUUCGAAGAAUUAUCUUUUUUAGUGAUAUGUGAUGGUAUUUGUAGGGUUUCAAAGCACUCCAUGGAUGAUGGCAAUGGGUCCCUUUGAUGAAUUGUAGGUUAAAAGCCCAAGACUUGUCUUUGCCCUAUAAAUGGUCAUGUAUUAUUCAUUAUUAGGGUUAAGAGUGAGGCAAAAUGUAGCCGCCACGUGAGGCUUCUUGUAUCGUUAGAUUCUUAUUCUUAAAGUGUAAUCUAUUCCUCAUAAUUGAAUAAAUCGAGUGAUCAUUCGACCUAAUCUUCAUAUUUGUGUUUGUUCUUAUUUUUCCGCAUCUUGUUCAUCAAAUCUCAAUUAGGGUUUUAAUCCUAACAAGUGGUAUCAGAGCGGGUCUUUGAAGAUCCAUUGAUUUUUGAAGUAUCAGUUCUUAAUUUGAUGAUUUUCUGCACAAGUUAUUGAAGAUUAUUGUUUGUCGUAAUUUUUUUCAAGCCACUGUUCAUGAAGAUCUAUGAUUUCCUUCUACUGUUCAUUUGGGUAAUUUUUUUUAAUCCGAUUCGUAUCUUGCCAUUAAUUCGUUCCUUCACUGUAUUGUCGAUCAAAAUCAAUUAUUGGCUUCAUGGAUAAAUUUCAUUCUUUUUCCCUAAUAAAUCCAGUUCAUUGCUGUACAUCCGGUUCAAAUUGGGUCCUGAUCUUAGAUGUUUUUUUCUUGUCGUGAUAUGUCUCGAGCACAUUUUUUCGUUGACCUAAAUGGCAAAAGUUUUGGGUAUUGUUUCUGUUUUGAGUGUUUUCUGCUCUCACGUUCUUAUCACAUCUUCUGUUUAUUGAAUCCAUUCCUUAAAUCACAAAAUUGUUAUUUUCAAUAAUCGAAAUCAAGUCUUGUUCAAGUUUGAUAAUCGAAUCCAAGUUGUUUGAUUUGUUCAACAUCGAUUUUGGUUGAUCGUUUGACAUGGUUGUGAUAAGUUUUGUUUUGGGAAUCAAUAUCGACUUCUCUUGAUCUGGAAUCGAUUGGAAGAAGUUGUUCUUGGUGGUCAAUGCUUAAAUUUCAAAAAAAAAAUAUUGUUGUUUGGAAUUCACUGGGUCUUGCAAUGGGGGCUUAUGACAUUGGAACAAUGAAAUUGAAUUCACAAUCGGAAUCGAAGCCAAUGAAAUCAGAAUUCGGAAUACGGUUGUGUACCCGUUCGCAAUUGGCUGUCAAAGAUUAUAGUCAAAAUAGGAGCGAAUGGACUCAGAAUCGGAAGAAUUGGAUUGUGUUCGGAAUCACGCACCGUUCCGAAUUGCGAUGCUCGGAACCAAUUGAUUCGGAGUCUGGAACCUUUGGAUUCGGGGAUUGGCUUUGAUUCGCAUUUUUGUGCUCGGAACUAAAGUGUAAUUCGUGGAUGUCGAUUUCUUGGAUUCGGAAUUUAAUCGCGUGAAUGUUGUCGUUGUAUUCUUUCAAUACACUGAUUUAAUGGGGAAGAUGACUCAAGUUACGAUUAUGGUCCCUGAAACUUCAGUGAUUUAACAGUUAUGGUCCCUGUAUAUUUCAUGACUUGGUAGUUUUGGAUCAUAUUCAGAAACUGUUAUAAAUGAAGGGAAAUUUGAUGCAGUUUUAUUAUUUUAAUCCCUAUCUUUCAGCAAUGUGACAGUUUCAGCCCAUCUUACGAAAAGUUUGCAAAUUUGAGGGCUGGUGAACACUUUUGGAAUUUUUAACACACAUAUUUUUUUCGUGAACAGAAAAUUAAAGAUUCCAUCAAGUCUUGGCGGUUCGGAAAGUCGUUUUUCGUGAUAACGACAAAUUUUCACGACUUUUUCGGAUUUUAUACUUCAUUGUAUGUAUCAUUUUGUCGCGGGGGAGCACAGUAAUUUUUAUCCAUUCAAGAUCAUUCUCAUGACCAUAAGAAGGCUUUAUAAUCACGUUUUUUAUUAUAAAUCGGGGGAGAAUUUGGUAUGACCAUUCGAAAUUGGAAUUGUAAUUUUUCAAAUUUGAAGAUUUUUUUUAAAGCUUGUGGUAGAAUUGUGAAGGUAGCUUUUAUAAUGGAAGUUCUUCAUCGAGCUCUGCUAAAGCUUUUCCAGAGAAGUAUCCUUUACAGCGGAAGUUCUUUAUCGAGCUCUGCUAAGGACUUGUUAUAUCUCCGACUUCUAGUAUUUUCUCGAUCAAGCGGCAUUACGAAUCUUAAAGUUUGGGUUGUUACAUGAUAUUUUUUGAUGGCUUAUAUCAUUAGCUUAUUUGAAGAUCAUUGUGACUUGGAGGGGGAGCUCUUCAAAGACAAGAAGUGAUUCGGUUUCUUUGUUCUGAAAUGGGUUUUUAUGGCGGGUUUGGUUUUCAUGAAGAUUCUUUGGGAUUACAUUCGAAAAUGAAGUUUAAAGACAUUACUUCAGUGCUUGAUUUAUAUAUCCUAGAGCCCGUGUUUGAAGACUAUUGAAGAAUCAAGAUUCGUGGAUUGCUUCAUAUAUUCCUCGUUGCAAGAUUUUUUUAUUCGCUAGAUGCUUGUUUUGAAAGUUAAAACAUUGUCAUCCAUUCCAUAUUUUGAGGGGGAGAUUGUAGGGUUUCAAAGCACUCCAUGGAUGAUGGCAAUGGGCCCUUUUGAUGAAUUGUAGGUUAAAAGCCCAAGACUUGUCUUUGCCCUAUAAAUAGUCAUGUAUUAUUCAUUAUUAGGAUUAAGAGUGAGGCAAAAUGUAGCCGCCACGUGAGGUUUCUUGUAUCGUUAGAUUCUUAUUCUUAAAGUGUAAUAUGUUCCUCAUAAUUAAAUAAAUCGAGUGAUCAUUCGACCUAAUCUUCAUAUUUGUGUUUGUUCUUAUUUUUCCGCAUCUUGUUCAUCAAAUCUCAAUUAGGGUUUUAAUCCUAACAGUAUUCGUGAGCUAGUUUGAGGGAGAUAGUGGGAGUUUCUUCUGCAGCUGAUGGUGGAGAGUGGUAUGGAGUUUUCCCAAGGAAAAUCUAGGAUGCGAUCUAAUGAUGGGAGCCUUAUCUGUAAGGAAGGUGAUAUGUGCAUAUUUACCUAUAUAUUUAGUAUAGAGUUUUAUCAUUUAUUAGCUAAUUAUUUGCAAAUUAUGGACAAAAGGUACUUAAUAGUGUUUAAAUUGUAUUUUCAGUCUGAAAGUUAUGCUCAGAAGCAAAAGGAAGUAGGAGAUACAAUCGGUAGCUCGGGAUUUGAAGAAAGAAGAAAAAAGAGCCAAAUCCUGAAGCUACUCAGCGAGUAACAACGUCUACUUGACGAGUACCCACGAAGGUUCACGAAGCAAUACGUAAAGUCCUUACCGUACACAAAUUCUACAAGGGGACUCGGCGAGUCGGUUGGCUACUCGACAAGUAUCCUCUGUUUUCUGAAAAAUAUAAAUAGAGGCCAAAUUCCGAAACAAAACACUCUCUGGAUUUUCGAAGGAUUACCUUGCGACUAAGAAGGCUGCUGGAGCUCUAGAAAUCGUCAGAGUCAACCCUAGUUUUCAAUUCUAAUAAGAUUAAUGGCAACAUAAGUUUACUCUUUACUUUAUCUAUUGUUUUAAUCAUGUUUAAACUAUUAGACAUUGUUUUUGAGUUGCUUUCUGCUACAAUCAUGAGCUAAAUUUUAUAUCUUCUGUUUAGGGUAGGAAAAUUUACAACUAUGGAUUGAUUUGUGUUUGGAUUAAUUGUUUAUUAGUGAAUUUAGUUUUAUUAAGCUUGUUAAAGAACCUUAUGCAUUAACCAUAACUAUUUUCUGUUAAUUAUCAAGUAAUUAAGCUGCACGAACAUGUCUUAAUUGCUUAUCUCAAGUGAUUUAUGUGAAAGCAUUGUCAUGUGCCUAGGAACAGCGUACGUGAAACUAGGGUUAACUAGAAAAUAGGUGAAUUAAUGUGUGAGCUUGUGUGAUAAACCAUCAACAAGAGGUUAAUUGAAUGACCAAUUUAAUUAACUACUACAAGUCUUAUUUAACCCGAAUAAUUAACUAGGAAAUUUAUUAGUUUAAUCAACUAGCCAUUGUUUGAAUUGAUAUGUUUUCUAAGGAUUGGUAAUAGCAAAUGCGAACCUAAUCACUUUAAUCGGUAGCCAAUAACAAUUAAUCCAUUACAUUUGUCAUAAAAUCAACCAUAAGAGUAGAUAAACCGAACAUAAACAUAAGUCUUCUUAUUAUUGAAUUUAGUUGAUUUUUACUUGUUUUAGCCAUUAGUUAUUUAAUUUGUGUGUUAGUUAGUUCAUCUAAAUUUGUAGUCUUGCAAAACUAUAGAAACCCUUUUACUUUUAUUAUUUGUUUUAGUUAAUUCUAGUUAUUAGUUUAAUUACCGUUCCAUGAGUUCGAUACCCUGCUUAUUUAACUAUACCACCAACUGUCAGGUCAACUGGCUUUUGUAUGUCUAAUUCAAAUUUAAAAAGUAGGAUAAAACUGGUUAGUUUCACACACAUCAAGUUUUUGGCGCCGUUGCCGGGGAACAGUUCAAAAAUUAUUUUAAUUUCUAGUAUUACCAAUCCUUUGUGUGAGAUCCAUCUUGCACAAAGUUACUGCUUUAGUAAUUUAUUUAUUAGGUUAAGUUUUAAUUUUUUAUGUUUUUAGGAUUUUUGUUUAAUUUCUUUUUGUUUUAGCCUUGAACUCGCCGAGUGCAAUCGAAGCUACUCGACGAGUCCACAGAUGAUUUUCAGUUUCAUUUUUAGUUUAUUUUUGUUGUUUUUACGCGUGUUUUCUGUUUUGCUUGCAGUUCGUUUAUGACCAGAGGAGGAGGUACACCUUUGAUUCCACCACUUGAAGACCCGGAAGCAACUUUGAGCAAACACAAAGGCAAAACCGUAGGAGAAACCUUAAUAUCGAAGAAUUCACCAUUGAAGAAUCUUAAAUAUGUUUUUAGUAAGAAAAAGGGCAACAAAGUAGGAGAAUCCAACAAAGUAGGGAACUUCAUUGAAGAAGGAAGCAAUUUAGAAGGAGAACUAGCUAACCCCAUGGCUAACAUCGAUGAAGUUCCCAUGGGCGAAUGGAAAAAAAGAAUACGUGAUGACACCGGCCCAGGACUCGUGCAACCCGUGAUCCCUGAAACUGUCACUUUUGAACUUAAGGGCCACAUACUUUCUCAACUUAAGGAAAUUCCAUUCUACGGGAAGGAUCAUGAGAAUGCAUAUAAGCAUCUAGACGAGGUCAACGAUAUAGCCGACUACUUUAAUGUCCCUAAUGUGGCCCCCAACACUGUUUUGCUUCAAAUGCUACCAGUCACAUUCAAAGGAGUCGCGAAGGAUUGGCUGAAAUCACUCCCUCUGGGAUCCAUCACUACUUGGGCUAAAAUGAAAGAAGAAUUUAUAGAUCAAUUUUGCCCUCCCUCGAAGAUAGCCAAGUUGAAGAAAGCCAUAGCCAAUUUUGAACAACAAGCGGGAGAGUCACUUUAUGAGGCAUGGGAGAGAUAUAAGGGCUUACUAAGGAACUGCCCACAUCAUGAUCUAAACAGUCAACAAGAAGUAUCCAUUUUCUAUGAUGGAGUGAUUGUGACAACUAGGCAGCUCCUUGAUUCGCAAGGACCACUCAAAAAGAAGGCACCCUCGAUGAUGAAGACCCUAAUUGAAGAAUUCUCUAAGAACUCUAGAGAAUAUCAUCACCCAAGGAAUGACCCAAAUCCAGGGGUGGUAAACUCAGUUACUGAAAGCAUGGUAGCAGUUAUGGCUAAGUUGGAGAGUGUGGAUCAAAGAAUGAAUAAGAUGGACCAAUCUAUCCACACUAUCUGGGUGGGAUGUGAGAAUUGUAACGGGCCUCACCUUACUAGAGAUUGUGAUUUGGACGAGAAUUGGAACCAGAAACCACAAAUGUGCUAUUCAAGUGGCAAUAAAUAUGAUGAUGAUCGGUAAAAACCCAAGAAAGAAUGGAUCCCGUAUGAUGAAUACAAGAAGGCAAAGGAGGAAAAGUUUAAGCAAAAGGCCAGUGGUUUUUAUCAAAAGGAGGAACCAAUGCAAGAAAAGAAAUCAGACUUGGAAAAUAUGUUUACAAGAUUUGUAGACGCGUCCGAGAAAAGGCAAAAUGAUACCGACGCUGAAAUGAAGGAGCAACGAAAUACACUUAGAGAGCACCAAUCUAUGAUGAUGGAUCAACAAACUAUGCUUCAAAAUCAGCAAAUAUCCAUUCAUAACAUUGAAAAACAGCUAGGCCAGCUUGCACAACAAAUCAACCAACGAGGACCGGGUGAACUUCCUAGCAAUACCGAACAAAACCCAAGAAUGGCAUAUGUAAAUGCGAUAACAAUAGUUUCUGAGAAAAUUUUUACUCCUUUGACCUCUCUCCAGAAGGCCUCAGUAAAGGUGCAAGCAGAAGAGCCAGAAAAUCGAAAUUAGAGAAUCCCGACUUGAGUCACCGAGCCCAAGACAAGGACUCGAUGAGUCGGAGACCUGAUAAAAAAAUGGCUGCUCUUUAAAGCUUUACCGACCUCCUUUGCCAUUUCCGAGUUGAGCCACACCUGGUGAACAAAUUCUAGAGUUUAAGAAAUUUAUGGAGCAUAUAAAGGCCCUUCAAGUGAAUAUUCCGUUUAUUGAAACGAUACUUCAAACGCCAAAAUAUGCAAGUUUGUUGUAGAGUCUCUUUACAUCUAGAAAAGAUAUGGCAGAAGCGGCUGAAAUAGUAUUGAAUGAGCUGCCAGAGAAGAGGGGAGAUCUGGGAAGCAUCACGAUACCUUGUCAAUUUGGAAAUAUAAUUUCCACUCAUGCAUUGACUGUUUCGGAGGCAAGUAUAAAUCUUAUGCCAUAUUCUUUCUUCAAAAAGCUAAACUUGUCGGACCCAAAAGCUAUCCGUAUGACAAUCCAUCUAGCCGAUAAAUCAAUAAUACAUCCAAGAGGAGUGUGCGAAGGACCCCAUUGCGAGCAGACAUUGGUUAGCAGAUGUUACUAAUGCUAUCUACACCAGUCGUUGUCCCGAGGAGGACAAGGUCAGACUAGCUUCCUGCCUUUUGAAGGACAGGGCACGAGACUGGUGGGAGGAGGUUGGUCGUGCUGUGGGUGAUGAUGUUGUUAAAGGGAUGACCUGGAUGAUUUUUCGACCAGGUUCCAAGUUGAUUUUGCACUGGUUAUUGAGGUGUAGUAGUUGGCGCGAGAGUUCCAGGAUCUCCGACAGACUACUGAGACGGUGGUUGAGAUCACCGCUAAGUUCAGGGAGAGGGAGCUUCUGGUUCCGCAGUAUGUGGCAGACGAAGAGAUGAAGAAAGCCUGAUAUCAUGAGAUGCUGAGGAGCGACAUUUGGCAGUUUAUGAUCCGAUCCAGUUUCAAGACGCUGGAGGAUAUUAUAGCUCGAGACAAAGAGAGGGAGAUUGACCUGGAGAUUGAGAGGAAGAGGAAGCCAGAUGAGGCUUAAGUGUCAAGGGGUUCGGGCAAGAGGCCCAAGGUAUCGGAUUCCAGAUCGAGGGGCCAUCAGGGUCGUAGCCGCUGUGGAAAGUGCAACAGGAUGCAUAAGGGUUCGUGUAGGAGUGGUAGUGGUGGUGGUUCCGGCUGCUUCAAGUGCGGACAUACUAGUCAUUAUAGCAAGGAUUAUAUUGCUACCAUCACCUGGGGAUCAUAUUUGUUUUGAUUUCAUUGCAAUCAGAGGGGACACAAGAAGGCCCAAUGUCUGAGUUUGGCUGCAGCAGGACUGGUGUCAGCACCCGCUCCUGCGACUCUUCGUAUCACUGAUUGCCGCCAGGGCCAUGCAGAUGCGCCUGCGGCGAAGAGCAGGGCCUUCCAACUGACGACAGAGGAGGCGCGUGCAGCUCCCGAUGUUGUGAAGAGUAUGUAUCUUCUCCUUAUCUUUUUAUUUAUAUUGAAUUGCUUGCAUAUGUUUAUAUGUUUCAUUUGAAGAUUGUUCCUUAUGUACGGUAUCUCUGAUUUGGUAUUAUUUGAUUCGGGGGCAACCCGAUCUUCUGUAUCGCUUGGGCUUAGCAAGAGAUUUGUUGGAGCUCCGGGGGAGCUGGAUUGUUCUCUUGAUGUUAAAUUUGUUGAUGAUAGGACGGUCCGGGUUGCGAGGGGUCGUUGGGGUUGUACUCUCCAGUUAUUUAGCGAGCAGUAUCCGAUUGAUCUAGUUCCAAUCCCUCUGAACGGGAACCAGAUCAUCUUGGGAAUGGAUUGGUUGAGCCCUAAUGGGGGCAAUGAUUGACUGUGAGUAGCCGUUAGUUCGGGUUUGGACCCCAAGUGGGGGAGAGUUGGUAAUUCAGGGUGAGAGACAACAGCAUGGACCGAUUAUGUGUUUUGCGGAGAGGGCCAGACGCUAUCUUUAUCUGGGUUGCUCUGGUUUUGUCGCCUAUGUCAUGAAUACCAAGGAUAAGGGUAACGUGACUGUGGUUGAUGUGCUGAUUCUGCAGGAUUAUCCGGAUGUGUUCCCAAAAGAUUUUCCUGGGGUGCAUCUAGAGAGGCAGUUAGAGUUAAUGAUUGAUCUGGUUCCAAGUGCAACUCUGAUAGCAAAAUCACCGUAUUGGUUGGCUCCUCCCGAGAUGUAGGAGUUGUCUACAUGGCGCAGGAACGGUUAGACAAAGGAUUUAUUAGACCUAGAAUUUCGCGUUGGGGAGCAUCGAUUCUGUUUGUGAAGAAGAAGGAUAGGUCUCAUCACAAGUGUAUCGACUACCGGGAGUUGAAUAAGGUAAUGGUGAAGAACCGUUCUCCACCCCUGAGGAUUGGUGACCUUUUCUACUAGCUUCAGGAUGCAUCUUGGUUUUCCAAGAUUGAUUUGCGAUCGAGUUAUCAUCGGAUACGGGUCAGAGAUAAGGAUGUGCAGAAGACAACUUUCCAAACUCGAUAUGGCCAUUAUGACUUCGUGGUGAUGCCUUUUGGGCUCAACAAUGCUCCAAUCGCGUUCAUGGAUCUCAUGAAUCGCGUGUGCAAACUGAUACUGGACUGGUCUGUGAUAGUUUUUAUUGAUGAUAUCUUGGUUUAUUCUAAGACUAAGGAGCAACAUGAGGAGCACUUGCGGGAAGUGCUGGAGACUUUGAGGAGGGAGAGACUUUUUGCAAAGUUCUCCAAGUAUGAGUUAUGGUUGCGCGAGGUGUAGUUUAUGGGGCACCUUAUCAACCAGAAGGGUAUUCUGGUCGAUCCGAGCAAGGUCGAGGCCGUGAUGCAGUGGGAGUUUUGGAGGUCUUCAUCUGAGAUUCGGAGUUUUCUUGGUCUAACUGCUUAUUAUCAAAGAUUCAUUCUGGAUUUCUCUAAGAUCGUUGUUCCAUUGACCCGACUGACUAAGAAGCCGGUGACAUUUCGUUGGGGGCCUGAGCAGCAGGCAACUUUUAAGACUCUUAGACAACGGUUGUGUGAGGUUCCGAUUCUGACCUUACCUAAGGGAGUUGAUGAAUUUGUGGUUUAUUGUGAUGCUUCGAUAUCCAGUCUAAGGGCAGUAUUGAUGCAACGUGGUUGUGUGAUUGCUUACACUUCGAGGCAACUGUAGCCUCAUUAGGCGAACUAUUCGACACAUGAUUUGGAGUUGGGGGCUACGGUUUCUUCGCUCAAGAUUUGGCGGCAUUAACUCUAUGGGGUUCGUUGUACUAUUUACACGGAUCAAAAGAGCUUGAGGCAUCUAAUGGAUCAACUGAAUCUGAACAUGAUGCAGCGUCGAUGGUAAGAUGUGGUGAAGGAUUACGAUUGUAAGAUCCUUUAUCACCUUGGGAAGGCCAAUGUGGUGGCUGAUGCUCUCAGCCACAAGGCAGUCGUGGCUCCGAUUAGAGAUAUAUGUUUAAGGAUGACUGUCAUUACUCCAUUGUUGGAGCAGAUUCAUGAGGCUCAGGCAGAGGAUAUGAAGGAAGAGCACCUGAAGAGUGAGUGCAUUGUGUGUCAGGUAGCUUCCAUCGAUUAUUAUAGCCAUGGAUUGUGAACUCUGCAUUGAUGAGUCUGGGUUCCUUAUUGGGGUGGUGUGUGCCAGGUUCUUAUGGAGGAGGCCCACAAGUCAAGGUUCUCCUUUCAUCCUGGGGCGACGAAGAUGUAUAGGGAUCUUCGUCCUGAUUAUUGGUGGCUCUGCAUGAAGCGGAAUGUGGCAUGGUACGUUGAGUGAUGUUAGACUUGCAGGAAACUCAAGGCCGAGCAUUAGCGUCCUCAUGGAAAGAUGCAGUCCUUGGAGAUUCCCGUAUGGAAAUGGGAAGACAUCACUAUGGACUUUAUCAUGAAGCUUCCUAGGACUGCGCACGAAGUGGAUUCUAUUUGGGUCAUCAUGGAUCAUUUAACCAAGAGCGCGCAUUUCAUUUCGAUUCAUGAGAGUAUUUCUACAGAGAAGUUGGUCGGGAUUUAUAUCAAGGAGGUAGUAGCACGUCAUGCGGUGCCGGUGUCAGUGGUUUCGGAAAGGCAUGUUCGCUUUACUUCCAGAUUUUAGAAGCGGUUUCUUGAUGAGUUGAGCACUCGUCUCCAUUACAGUACAACAUUCCAUCCACAGACCGAUGGUCAGAGUGAGCGGACUAUUUAGACCCUUGAGGAUAUGUUGCGUGCAUACAUGUUGGAUUUUAGUGGGAGUUAGGAUGCAUACCUUUCGUUAGCGGAAUUUUCGUAAAACAACAGUUGUCACACUAGCAUUGAUCGACCUCCUUUCGAGAUGCUAUACGGGAGGAAAUGCAGGACCCUAAUUUUUUGGGGCAAGGUCGGUCAACGAGUCAUGGGGUGUACCAAUGUGGUACUCAAGACCAUUGAGCUGAUUCAGCAGGUUCGAAGUAGGAUCUAGACAGCUCCGAGUCGGCAGAUGAGUUAUUCUUAUAGGCGCUGGUCAGAUUUGGAGUUUCAGCUGAUGGAUAUGGUUCUCCUGAAGGUGUCACCAAGGAAAGGUGUCAUCUGAUUCAAGAAGCGGGGCAACCUGGGGCCCCAGGUAUAUUGGUCCUUUAGGGUUUAGGCUCGAGUGGGUUGGGUUGCGUAUCAUCUAGAUCUUCCAGCAGAGAUCAGUCAGAUUCAUAGCACGUUUCAUGUCUCAGCUGCAGAAGUGCCUGGUAGAUGAUUCCGCGAUGGUGCAUUUGGAGGACAUUCAGGUGGAUGACCGCCAUAAUUAUAAUGAGAGAUUGGUGUCAAUUUUAGAUCGGAAGAAGAAAACCUUGAGGAACAAGGUAGUGGAGCUGGUAAAGGUGCAGUGGCAGCACCGAAAUAGUUCAGAGUGGACUUGGGAACCCAAGGAGGAGAUGAGGGAGCACUAUCCAAAAUUGUUCCAGACAACAAACUUCGAGGAAGAAGUCUGAUUCAAGUGGGGGAGAAUUGUAACGCUCGAUAUUUCCAAGGUAUUUUUCAAAAUUUUUGUUAUUGAAUUAUUAAGACUUGGGCCUUGAUGUUGUUGGAUAUUUUUCAUAUUGGGCUUAGGGGGUGCAGUACACGUGGCGUACCACCCUAUGUACGUUGGCGUACUAAUGUAGAUUGGACGUGGGUGCCAUGCACGUAUGUGCUGCGUACAAGGGAGUACACGCAACGUAUGUAUCCAGAACCCAAAACCCUAAUAUUUAGGGUUUGAAAACUAUUUAAAGAACAUUAUGCCCUAAGGAUAUUCUCUAUCAGCCUCCCUCUAGUCCCUAAAUAGCCCCCUCAAAACCGUAACCCCAUCGUUGUGUGUUCUUGUGGUUGGAAGGUCUUUUGAGUGCAUUUUUGUAACAUUCCUAAAAUUUUAAAAUUUUAAAACUUUUACAUACAUCCAAAAACCGUAAUUAUGUACAUAUUGUUUUUGAAAUAUGUUCGUCAUCAGAGAAAUUCCAGAAAUCAUGAAACAAAAUAUGAGGAGGUGCACGUUCACGCCUUCGCCUUCUCGCGAUCCUUUGAGGUACCUGAAACAUAAUCCAAAAUUGUAAGCCUGAAGCUUAAUGAGUUCCCCUAAAAUACCAAUCAAAUACAAAAACCAAAAUAAUAUCACAAACAUCACGCAUUCAGAGCCUUCGGUCUGAUUGGAACGCCCCACCAGCCUACAGUCUAUCUGGUACACCCACAAAACCUACAACAUGUAUGGUACACCACCUCGGGCCUUCAGCCUAUCAUGAACACUCUCCGGGCCUUCGGCUUGACUGGUAUGUCCCACUGGCCUUUAGUCUAUCUGGGACACCCUGGGUCUAUUGGCCUUCAGCACAAAGCGGGUCUGCCUCAACCCAACCAUACAUAAAAUGUCGACAUAUACACAACAAUUAAACAUAUAACUAGUCAAUCAGAUAAAUAGACAGAUCUUACAGAUCACUAAGCAUAAUAUCAUGCUAUUAUCAGGAUAUAGAUCAAACAGAUCACUAAAAUACCCAAUCAUGCAAAUCGGGAUAACAAUCCAAAAGGGCAGGCCUUGGUGCCUUCGACCCAACAAGUACAGUGAGGAACACUCACCUCACAAGUAGUGUUGAACCAGUAAAAUUCAACUCCAAAACUCAGCUCUGGACUAUAAUGUCUACAACCACCAUGUGACCAUUUCUAUCAAACGCUGAAAUACCCAAAAUGCCCUCAAAGUCAAACUUGGUUAGCCAUGGUUAAAGUCAAAGUCAACAAUCAAGGUCAACAGUCCAUGUUGACCCCACUCAUUGAGUGCACCUACCAACUCGUCGAGUUCCUAUAGUAUCCGGAAAAGCAAGAAAACCCUAGUCAACUCAUCAAGUUGGCUGGACGACUCACCAAGGUUUCCCAGCUUAACAUAUUCAACCCUUUUUCAUCAAGUCCAACGCUUUAAAAAGUAGAUCUGAUACCCAAGAGUUGGAAAACCACGUAAAGUUGCUAACUUGAUGUCCAUGCACGUCACCAAGAGGCUCCAAAACUCAAAGAAGGCUUAAUAAGGGAACUAAGGCGGGCCAAGAACUUGAUAAAUCUUGAAACUUUAAGCCUAAAGAGGCCUCAAAACGUCCAGAUCUAAAGUGAUAACUUCAUGAAAUACUCAACCCCAAGAACAAUCCCAAAAUGAGCCAAAUAUGUCAAUAAAAUUCCAAGGAUGAGAUCUAAGCAAUAGAUAAGCAAGUUGUCGAUUUUUUACCCUAAAAGAAAUGUAAUACUCCAAAAGUUUCUAGAUCUAAAACCGUCCCUCCAAUCUAGACACUUCCAACCUUAAGCUUCUUCAAAAGAACACCAAGAAAUCACUCUUCAAGCUCAUACACACACAUAUGGGAGAGAAUGCACAAACUAGGGUUUUCUGGAUAGGCGAGACUGAUAAGGAGGCCAACCAAAGGGUAUAAGGCCUUUAAAUAGGGUGCAACAGCCUAAACAUUAGGGUUUCUUAAUCAGCCAAUAACUCAUCAAGUUUUUCCUCACCAACUCGUCGAGUUAGUCCAAAAAUAUGUGCGGCCCAAAAGCCUUCAACAUGUCGAGUUGAGGCCAUCAUGUAGAUGAGUUCCAAGGGGAAUUUUCCUUUUAAGGAAUAAAUCUCAUACCUAGAAGUUGGGAUGUUACAACUCUCCCCCACUUGAACUAGUCCUUGUCCUCGAAGACUAAUGCGAGGAACAAAUCCGCAUAAUGCUCCCGCAUCUCAGCCUCCGACUCCUAGGUCCACUCGAUCCCCUCUAAUGUUACCAUCGUACCUUUAGCAAAGGUACCUCCUUGCUACACAUAACCUUUACCUUCCUUUCUAGAAUAGCUAUCAGCCUCUCGACAAAGUUCAGGCGCUCAGCAACCUGAAUAUCAUCCAACGAUAUCACUGCAUCAUCGUCCAAAACACACUUCCAUAACUACGAAACGUAGAAAGUGCUAUGAAUCUAACUGAGCACUUCUGGAAGAUCCAAUCUAUAAGCAACCUUUCCAACCCUGGAAAUAACCUAAAAUGGUCCAAUUAAUUGGGGAUCCAAAUUCCCCCUCUUCCUGAAGCGGUUCGCACAUGUCCAAGGUGUGACCUUCAACAACACCAUGUCACCGACCUGAAACUCCAACUCAGAUCUGUUGGAUUAGGUGUCUAAGCCCAUAAUUAUAAUUUGUAUGUACUUGUCCUGAUAGUAGCAUGGUCCAUUUUGGGUUGCAUUCACCAGAACAAUUUGAUAGGAUGGAUAUUUGAGAAAGAGGUUAUUUGUGAUUUAUUAAUUGAUUAUAAGUAUAAUAUAUUAAUAGAGAAAUCAUAUUAUUUAAUUAGUAUUGAUCAAGAAUUAAUUUGGAAUUUAUUAGUGAUCAAAAGAGACUAAUUAAAUUAACGGGGACUGAUUAUGUAAAUCACUGAUACAUAUGGUUUGGGCUAAUAAUCCAUGAUUGCUUUGUGAUGGUCUAAGCUUAUGAGAUAUUCCAUGAAGUGUUUGUUAGUCCAAAUCAAUUGUUGAAUCAUAAGCCUAAGUGUAAGAAUUAGCGUUUACAAGUGACUCUUGGAAUUCUACACUAUAUAUGUAACCUCUAAGCCCUUAAAAUCACCACCAAGAGUAUUCUAAGAGGAUAUAGUCGAUUUUUGGUGCUUAAAGCUCUCUCUCAUUGUCAUCCAACUGUCGGUGGUGUUUUGUGAAACAUUUGAGGCAUCACACUUGAGGUGCUAAGCUCUUGAAAGACCAACUUCUACAAACUACGACAAGAGGUAAUCAUCUAACUUGUUUUUAUGAUUCAAAUAUCAAAUUUGUAUGCUAGUUAGGGUUCAUGAUUUGGAAAAAGAAUAUUGCAUGUAUAACUAGAGAAAACUUAGAUCCAAGGGUUGUAUGUGCACCAUUGGGAUGUUAUUGUGCUCAAAACCCUUCAGUUGUAUCAGAGGCUAGAGUGUUUUCUGUUAUAUUGAUGCAAUUGUAUUAUUUUCAAAGCUGGAAAAACUAUCAAAUUUGAUUCUGCAUGAUCACCACAACGUGGCAAUGCAUGACACGAUGUGGUGAUGGGUUUGAUGGCAGAUUUCAGAUUUCUUGGCUUAAUUUGGAUUUGGAUAACUACUAUAAAGUGUUUUGUUGAUCAAAACUCAAUUUUAUGUUAUGCAAAUAAUUAUACUUAUCUUAAUUAAAAGAUAAUGAUCAAAAUUUAAGAUAAUUACUAGAUUAUGUGAUAAACUAAUUAUUUGUAAAUUUUGAAUUGUGAUUAUCUUGUCAAAUUUUAAGAUAAUUACUUGAUUUUGUGAAAAAUUAAUUAUUUGUAGAAGACAAAUCAUCUUGCUAUAUGACUUAAAUUAGGUCAAUUUUGUAAAUAAUAAGUUAUAUCAUAAUUUUAUUAGUUAAAUUUGAUCUAAAUGUUUCUUGAAGAGUUUCAUAGCUUGUCAUCAAGUUAUGAAAUAUGAAAAGUCUCAUUCAUGAAACAUUAACUCCUUAAGUUAUGGAAUUCAAGAGGUUUUGAAGAGUUUCAAAACUUGCCCUCAAGUUUUGGAAUUUGAAAAAGUCUCAUUUAUGAAACAUUAAAAUUCCAAACCCUAGAAUUUUACAAGUUUAAAAUUCAACCCUUAUACUAUUAUAAUAUUAAAAGUUUAAUACUUAUAUAUAUGUAUAAGACAAGUCAGUGUUACCGUUAGUACACCUCAUUCACAAAGCCGAUCUAUAAGGGGGGUAUAAGGAAACUGCCUAUAAAAUGGUGGUUGAAUGGGAGUCCAAUCUCACCCACCGCUUCCUUGAUUGACGGAGGGUCGUUAGCCGAACAGGUAGGAUAAGGCAUUAAUUCUCAUUAAAAAGUAUAUAAAUAAUUAUAAAGUAACUAAAUUUUUAUAAUUUCAAAUCUUAGUUACUUUAGGAAAAAUGUAAAAAUGGUGCUAUUCCAUGAAAUUGCACUUUUCACCUUACAAAGGGUAGCUUGAUGUUUGUUAUACAUCAAUGGAACGUGUUUGGUUAACCGAUGCAUUGAUUAGGUGAUAAAUAACAUCAAGAGUACCAAGCACAUUUGUAUGUUUAUUAACACCUUUUUGUGAUCCUCGGUAUGCUAGUCACAAACUUGAAGAGCAUAAUCGAGAUUUAAACAUGCCAUUGAAAAGUUCAAUGAAUCUCAAAAGAAUCUAGGAAUUUCAGUUCAUUUAAAACUUAAUACUCUUUUUCAUUUUUCAUGGUGGAAAUUGGUAAAUCGUCAUUUACCUACCUUCAAAUACUUUGCAAUUGGAUUACAGCAUCCCUCUUCCGAAUUGUGAAAUAUUGUUUUGGGUCCUAGCCUUAAUAUUUCAUUUGGACGUUAUAUUAAGGAUUCUUAUUUAAUCUAAACUAUGUCUUUCUUUUCAAAUGUCUACCCCAAACGUUGUUGGCUCCAACCCUUCCGGCUCUUUCUCCUUCAUGAACUUAUGUGGGAGGGUCAUUUUUUAUGGAUCGAAUUUCAAUGAUUGGAUUUAAAACAUCCGCAUAGCGAUUCGAUACGAGGAAAAAGAGUAUUUCCUCGAAAAAGAGCUUAAGGAGAUUGAUGAAUCUACUGACACUCCUAAAUAGAUAGUUGAGUAUAGGGCUCAUGAGAAGGACGCGGUAAAGGUGUCGUGCAUCAUGAUAGCCACUAUGACUCCUGAACUUUAGAAAUCUUAUGAGGACUUCUGGUCUUUCGAGAUGCACCAAGACUUGAUGGAAAGGUACCAUAUAAGUGCUCGACAGGAAAGGUAUGGAAUCAUUUCCUCCAUGAUAACAACCAAAAUUAAGGAUGGAGAGUCCAUCACGACCCACUUGCAGAAGAUGCAAAGAUAUGUGGACCGCUUGCUGAAUUUGAAUGUCAGUUUCGAUGAAGAGUUGGUUGUUGACAUUAUCCUACACUCUUUUCCUUCUUGUUAUGAUCAGUUAUGUAUGACUUAUCAUGUGAACAAGGAGGAAGUCACUCUUAGCAAGCUUCAAGGCCUUCUCAGAACUGUUGAAAGUAGUUUGAAAGGAAAAUCUGUUGUAUCUACGCCUACUACUAUUGCCCUAGUCCUGACAAUUGGACAUGGUAAAGGAAAGAAAAGGAAAGCUCCCACAAAAAAUCACAAGUGAAAGUAUUGUGAUGGAGCCUCUUUGAGUGGUUUAAAGGUGGUUUUGCUGCUCCCUCUUUCAAUCGAAAAGAAGCAAAGUGCUUCUACUGUCAUGACAAAGGGCACUAGAAACGAAGAUAUCCCAAAUACUUAUAGGACAUUAAGGAUGGGAAUAUAAAGCGCACAUUCACAGUUAUUUAUACUAUUCAUUCUAAUAACUCAUCACAAUCUUAUUCUUCGGUCCUUGAUAUAGGAUGUGGUUUUCACAUUUAUUCUGAUUUGCAGGGUCUAAAAAGAAGUAGGGAUGUGGAGUACGGCAAGAUGAACCCAAUCAUGGGGAAUAGGAAAGCGUCGCCUGUCACCAAGAUUGGAGUUUAUUCUUUAUUGCUUAGUAGUGGGUUAGAAUUAGAUUUGAAUAAUUGUUUCUACUCGUUAGAUAUGGAGAGAAACAUUAUUUCCUUUCAUGGUUUGUAUAACAAGGUUUUAGAUUUUCAUUUAAUAAUGAACUUGGUUCUAUAAAUGCUUUUUAUAAUGGUGAAUUUAAUUUUGAAUCGUUUCCUUCUAAUGGUGUAUAUGAAACUGUGAUGGUUGUAGACAACUUAGGAAAUAAUGUAUUGCAUAUUGAUUCGUCCAAAGGUUUGGAUAAGGCAGGCUUGUGGCAUUGUCGUCUUAGACAUGUCAACAAGAAGCGCAUAGCCUAACUCCAAAAGGUUGGAGUGUUUGAGUCAUUUGACUUAAAUUUGGAUGACACAUGCGAAUUUUGUUUGCUUGGAAAGAUGACCAGGUCACCCUUCACUAGUACUUGUUAAAGGGGUGAUGGUUUGUUGGAUCUCAAACACACCGGUGUGUGUGGGCCCUUCAGAUAUGCCACAAGGGUUGCUAACCGCUUUAAUGUGACUUUUACCGAUGAUUAUAGCAGAUAUGGGUAUAUCUACUUAAUCAAGCAUAAGUCAGAAACCUCUGAAAAGUUCAAAGAUUUUAAAUAAGAAGUGGAGAAUCAGUUGGGCAGGAAGAUAAAGAUGCUCCGAUCCGAUCGAGGUAGAGAGUAUCUUAGUAUCGAGUUCCACGACUAUCUUAAGGAAUGUGGAAUUGUUUCACAAUUGACGCUACCUAGGACACCGCAGCUUAAUGGUGUGGCUGGUAGGCGCAUUCGAACCUUGUUGGAUAUGGUUCAUUCCAUGAUGAGUCGAGCUUCGUUACGUAUCUCAUUCUGGGGUAUGCCUUAGAGACUGCCACCCAUAUCCUUAAUCUAGUCCCAACUAAGAAGGUUACCAAAACACCUCAUGAAAUGUGGACAGGGAAGGUUCCUUUGUUGGCACACAUCAAGGUUUGCAGUUGCAAGGCACUCGUAAGACAAGAGACUCAUGACAAGCUUGAACCUCAUAAUGAGCAAUGUAUUUUCAUUGGCUACCCACAUAAGUCUUUUGGAUAUCUCUUUUAUAGACCGAGUGACAAUGUUGUCUUCGUUGCGAGGAUAGGGGUUUUCCUUGAAAGAGAACUCAUAUGCUAUGAGGACAGUGGGAGGCAAAUUGACCUUCAAGAGCUUCAAGAGUUAAGUGAUGACGGAACCUCAAACACUAGCACUAAACCUGAGGAGGAAACUCCUAUUGAACCAGUUGACGAUUUCUUACCUCUGAGACAUUCCAAUAGAGUUAGAAUGGCACUGGAGUUUGACGGUUUUCACGUUACUACAAAAGGUGAUACGUUUAUCAGUGAUAGUACACUGGUAAAUUUGGAUAAGCCUCUAACUACAAGGAAGCCAUGGCGUAACCUGAGUCCUAAAAUGGAAAGAGGCUAUGGACAAUGAGAUUCAGUCCAUGUAUGACAAUCAAGUUUGGAACUUGGUUGACAAUGUACCUAGUCGUAAGAUAGUCGGGUGCAAACGGAUGUUCAAGAAGAAGACGGACAUGGAUGGGAAAGUACACACAUAUAAGGCACGAUUGGUUGCGAAGUGCUUCACUCAAACUCUUGGAGUUGACUAUGACGAGACCUUCUCACCAGUAACGAAGAUCAAAUAUGUAAGGGUUAUGAUAGCCAUAGCUGCGUUUCAUGAUUAUGAAAUAUGGCAGAUGGAUGUCAAAGCCACUUUUCUUAAUGGAAAGUUGGCGGAAGAUGUUUAGAUGAGUCAGCCAGAGGGUUUUGUAGAUGUGAAGUAUCCUAAUAGAGUGUGUAAGCUUGAGAAAUCCAUUUAUGGAUUGAAACAAGCAUCUCGCAGAUGGAAUCUUUGUUUCGAUGAGAAAGUCAAAGAGUUUGGUUUUUCGAGAAGCGAGGAUGAGUCCUGCGUAUAUGUCAAAGCUAGUUGGAGUAUAGUUAGCUUUCUAGUAUUGUAUAUGGAUGACAUACUACUCAUAGGAAACAACAUUCCAACCUUCUAGGAGGUUAAGUCCUGGCUUGGAAAGUGUUUCUCUAUGAAGGACAUUGAAGAAGCUGCUUACAUUCUAGGGAUAAGGAUAUUGAGAAUUAGGAGUAAAAGACUAAUAGGACUUAGUCAAAGUAUCUACUUAGACAAGGUGUUGAAAUGUUUCAGCAUGUAGAAUUUAAAUAAAGCUGAAUUGCCCAUUCUGAGAAAUACGAAACUAAGUAAGACUCAGAUUCCGAGUACCGAUUCCGAGAUAGUAGAGAUAAGUCGAGUACCAUAUGCUUCUGUAGUUGGAUCGAUCAUGUAUGCUAUGACAUGUACUCGCCCUAAUGUGGCGUUUGCUUUGAGCAUGGUCAGCAAAUAUCAGGGGAAUCCUGGUAGAGCUCACUAGAUUGCGGUAAAGAAUAUUCUUAAGUACCUGUGGAGGACUAAGGACUGGGUCCUUACCCUUGAUGGGAGUGAUGACUUUAGAGUGACAGGGUAUAGUGACGCCAUCUUUCAAACCGACAAAGAUAAUUUCCACUCUCAGUCGGGCUGGGUAUUUACCCUAAAUGGAGGAGCGAUAACAUGGAAAAGUUCUAAACAGGAGACUGUGGCUUAUUCAACGUGUGAAUCAGUGUACAUAGCAGCAAGUGAAGCAUCGAAGGAGACGAUAUGGCUAAAAACUUCAUCGGAGACCUUGGAGUUGUACCAGCUGUAAAUGAGCCUAUGGAGAUUUUUUGUGAUAUUGAGAGUGCGGUCACCUUAACCAAGGAACUGAGGGAUCAUGGCAGAUCCAGGCACUUCGACAGAAAAUAUCACUUCAUAAGACAUCGAGUAGAAGAAGGACUCAUCAUAGUAAAGAGGGUAUCUUCAGAGGAUAAUCUAGCAAAUCCCUUUUCGAAGGGAGUGGAUAGGUUUAAGUGUGACAUUCCCAAAAUCACGGCCAGAAAAGACCGGUUUGUUUAUGCUUUGUUUAAAAAUCAGAGUAACAUUUUAAAUGAAAGUGUUGCGAAAUUUGUCCCAAAACAAAAUAUGAUAAAGAUUUAUUAAAAGCAUUUCCAUAGAAAUGUAUUUCAUUAAAAGACUUGGGAUGUCAUGUUCGUACAGAUCAAAAGCAUAAACAGUACAAUAUAAGCCUUACUACAUUAUUUCAUAUCUACAGGCCUAUAUCCGUAAUCCCUCGUCCAACAUAUCACACCUAUGCUCAUGCGCCACUACCUGUAAUACAUAAAACUGAGUGGGUCAGGCUUGGGAGCCUGGUGAGCACAUAGGGUUUUCAACCCACAAUAAAUAAGUUUAUUAAUUUCAUCAAUCAACAAUAACCCGAUUACCCGUUCCCGUUAUCCUCACUUUACGUCCCUAAACACCUAUCAUAAGGGACCUAGCCUAAGGAUCAUCAUCGGGACGGACACUACUGCUAAGGGGAUUCCUCAGCAAUAAAUGUCCUAAAGGCAACCAUGUGGGGGAUGGAGUACACCGGUGAACACAUCGUUCACAAACACCUACAGGUUGCGAGCCUGCUAGUGUUCCACUGGACUGUCUAGAAGAGUCUGUGGUCGUCAUCCAUACUCCGCUAGAUGACAGAAUCAACAACAUCAACAUCGAGGCCUCUCAUCAUUUUAUCACACAUCACCUAUUACAUCUACCCAUGUUUUACCCCAACAUUUUCGUAGAUAUAAAAUACAUAUACAGUUUAAAUCAUUGAAAACAUGUAUAACAAUGUUCAUCCAGCAUAGAUAGCAAGUAUUCAGAUAAUAUGCACACAUAGCACGUAAUUUAUAUAAAAUACUUCAUAUUUAUGUGUAAGCUGAAAGUAACUAUGCACUCACCUGAAAGGUGGUGACUCAGCACUCGGACAACGCUUCCAUACUCUCAAAACGAUUUUCCUUCGAUAAAACCUAGUAUCGAUACCACUAGGGUUUAGUCUAACGAUAACCGCGACAAAUUAAUUGUCUGACUAUUAUUAUUAUUAUAUAAGCAUUAAUAACACUCAAUAUAACUCAUAAUAAUAGCCCAAAUAAUUAUUUUAAGGACCUAAUAACAUUCCUAUAAUUAUUUGAAAGCUAUAUUAAAAAGUGCAUAAGCGUAGCACACUUACAGCGAAUUUUAUCGAAAACCGGAACUUAAUUGGAGCAGCGUUUCGAAACCGAAAGACUCCUUUUUCUCGGGACUCCGGGAGCCUCGGGGCUUCCCUAGGGUGCUAGGGGUUUUAUCUAGGGCUUAGGGGUGGUAUGGGGUUGUAGAGAGAGAAAGAAGUUAGAGAGAGAAGUGAUUUUGGUGUGAAAAAUGGAGCUGCCUUCGGAUCCCUUUUAUAGGCGCGAAGCCUCGGUCUACGCUGGGCGUCCAGCAGCGCUACGCUGGGCGUAGCUCGGAUAAGGUUGCCAGCUCGCACCAGCUGGCUCGCACUCGGACUCGGAAGGAUAUGAGCGAAGGUACGUUGGGCAUACAUACUUCGGAUGUGGGGCAUAAGCGUGGAGUGGCAUGUCGCAAUCCGAAGCGACUUCCGAGACCAUCAUCGGACGGUUGUGGUGCUGCCACGUCAUCGAUCUCGCACCAGGUUUCGCAUUUUCGAGUCCCAACUUCAAAAAUUCGUAACUUUCGCAUACGAGCUCUGUUUUCGACGUUCUUUAUAUCCACACGAAGGUGGGAACGUACUCUACAACUUUCGUUUAGACUUCAUCGGCUAAUUUUGACUCAAUUUUAAAUUUUAUAAUAUUAACGGGCCGGGACAGGAUUGGUCCGUUAAAUCCUCAUAACUUUUUCAUCCGGCGUCGUUUUCGCCCAUCUUUUUCUCGUUACGCUACUCUCAACGAGAUCUUCAAUUCUCGUUUAUGUCGUGUCGGCUAAAAACCGCUUGAUCUAAUAUUCGAAUUUCGGGUUGUACACUGCUAACUCGAAACUUCGAAAAAUCAUAACUUCUUCAUACGAAGUCAGAUUUGGGCGUUCUUUUUAUCGAUGUUCUUAGUUUAACAUGUUCUACGACUUUCGUUUAAAUCGCUAAGGCUAAAUCUCGCUCUAUCGUAAAUUCACUAUUUACGCUUCCCGGUAUCGUGCUGGUUCUGUCGCGAAACUUCGACGGGUCAUAACUUCUUCGUUAUAACUCGGAUUUCGGCGUUCUUUAUAUGUACGGAAACCUUGAUACAUAUUCUACAUCUUUAUGUAGAGAUAUCGGGAUUAUCUCACACUUUAAUUUUGACGCUUAUUUUUAUUCUUUAUAAAAUAUAUAUAUUUAUAAUAAAGCAAUAAGCACACAAAUACACAUAAUUCACAUAGAAUUAAAAUAUUUCAUCUUUAUUUCAUCAAAAAGAGUUAUAAGUGUUGACCUAGACUAUUGUAUUGACAAAAAUGCUUAGCCUUGAAACCCAGACGUUACAUUAAGCACUUGCAGUAUGCUAGAAGUUUUGGGCUGAAGGACGAUAUUAGUUUUAAUGAUUAGAUAGCUGUUUAGAAACUUGUAAUAGAUAAAAUGCAAUUGACAUUUGAUGAUAGAAUAAAAGGAGUUUUAUUUAUGAGUAAAGUUACUAUCUUAUGUCUAUUGUUUACUAUUGUUUCAUUUUGCAUGUUCGGACUUCCAGAAUAAUAAGAUUAUUCAAACCAUCCACACUCGAUCAUAUUUUGGAAGUAGGUGUUGAGACAAGAUUGUCAUGAAUUGGCUUGUAGAUUGUCUAAAGUGUUUAGACAUAGCAAAACUUUGCUACAACAUUCAUGAGUGCUCCUGAAAUAAGAUUUGAGUAUUGGAUUAAACCCACUCUCACAUGAAUCAGUUCAGGGAUUUAUCAUGAGUGAUUGUCAUACGAUAAUAUUAUUGGAUUAGUGUCUAAGCCCGUAACUAUAUUUGGUAAGUACUUGACCCGGUUGUGCAUGGUCCUUUUGGGUGCCUUCACUUUAGCAACUUGACAGGGUAAUUUACGGAGAGAGAGAAGAUAUUAUGGUUUAUUAAUAUAUUAUAAGAAUAAUAUAUUAAAGGAUAAAUAAUAUUAUUUGAUUAAUAUUAGUCAUAGAUUAAUUAGGUAUUAAUUUGGUGACCAAAAGAGAUUAAUUAAAUAAAGGGACUUAAACUGUCAAUUGUUUGAUAGUUUUAUUUUGGGCUGGGAAACCUAAUGGACUAAGGGGUGAACGAAAUUAUGAUGGGAGUCCAUCAUAUUUCCGUCCAUGGCCCUAUUCCAUAAGGUUCCAUGGGCAGCUUAAUGUUUAAGCUGUCUAUUAGGGUUUUGACUGAAACCCUAGCUGCUCACAGUAUAAAUAGAUCCCCUAGGUUACAGAAAUCGGCGACUGCUUCUCCUAGAACCCUAGAGCCGAUUUCAAGUGCCUCCUUCUCUCUCAAAUACUACCCUCUUGCUAGUUGGUGUUUGUAAGCCAUUAGAGGAGUUACACUUGUGACUCUAAGCUCAAGGAAGAAGAAAGAUUCAAGCAAGUAACAAGCGGUAAUCUUCUAGAUUUGGUUUGGUCAUUAUUAUUUUGAAUUAUUAUCAUUAGAUCUAGGUUUUGAAAGUCUUGGAUGAAUGUAUGUACAAUUAGAGAAACCUAGAUCCAAGCAUUAGUGUUUGCAUGAGCACAUAGGAUGUUCUUGUGGCUCAAACCCAUCAAAUAUCAUAUAGUCUUCAAACCAAGAUAUAUGAGUUUUUGAUUACAAGUUGGUUGUGCAUUGAUAGUGCGAAAACGCAUCAAUAACUUGAUGUUAUAAAGUGUGGUGGUGUGUAUGAUUUAACGAGUAAUUAGUACAAGCAUAUAAGUCAAAGUUUAUUUGUUCCUUUUAUCCUAGGAGGAUUAAAAGUGAUAUCUUGGGCCCCUCGAUGAUUUUGUCAUGACUUAUGGGUCGGGCCCGGUCAGGUCUCAAUUGAUGUGUUCAAUUAAGUUCUAUGUCAAACAAAUCAGAAAUCGGAAAACAAGCUACUGGACAAUAAGUAAGUUCCAUGUAUUUUUCUGCAUGAUAUCUUAAAGAACAGAGGAUUAUAUGAUCCCUUAUCUAAAGGAAGCGUCAGAAUUCAACAGCGGCUUUUGAGAGCCACAAUUGCUAAUCGGAUUUUAAAGUUGCAUUGGCAUUUAUAGUAAUUAGACUUAUCCAAGUGGGAGACUGUUGGAUUAGGUGUCUAAGCCCAUAACUAUAAUUGGUAUGUAUUUGACCUGAUACUAGCAUGGUCUAUUUUGCGUUGCUUUCACCAGAACAAUUUGAUAGGAUGGAUAUUUGAGAAAGAGGUUAUUUGUGAUUUAUUAAUAUGUUAUAAGUAUAAUAUAUUAAUAGAGAAAUCAUAUUAUUUAAUUAGUAUUGAUCAAGAAUUAAUUUGGAAUUAAUUUAAUGAUCAAAAGAGACUAAUUAAAUUAACCGGGGCUGAUUAUUUAAUUCAGUGAUACAUAUGGUUUUGGCUAAUAAUCCAAGAUUGAUUUGUGAUGGGCUAAGCUUAUGAGAUAGUCCAUGAAGUGUUAGUCCAAAUCAAUUGUUGGAUCAUAAGCCUAAGUGUAAGAAUUUGGGUUUACAAGUGACUCCUGGAAUUCUACACUAUAUAUGUAACCUCUAAGCCCCUAAAAUCACCACCAAGAGUAUUCUAAGAGGAUAUAGUCGAUUUUUGGUGCUCCAAACUCCCUCUCAUUGUCAUCCAAUUGCUGGUGGUGUUUUGUGAAACAUUUGAGGCAUCACACUUGAGGUGCUAAGCUCUUGAAAGGCCAACUUCUACAAACUACAACAAGAGGUAAUCAUCUAACUUGUUUUUAUGAUUCAAAUAUCAAAUUUGUAUGCUAGUUAGGGUUCAUGCUUUGGAAAAAGAAUAUUGCAUGUAUAACUAGAGAAAACUUAGAUCUAAAGCAUUAGGGUUGUAUGUGCACCAUAAGGAUGUUAUAGUGCUCAAAACUCUUCAAGAUCGGCAUCGGUCGGCAUAGCUCUUCUGUCGGCUCUGAGCAGUCUGCAACCUCUGCCUAAUAUGUUGAAUCAUCUAUGUAGUCUUCAAAACCACCUCGGUCUGACCUAUGACCCUGUGACCAACCUCCCCCCCCCCCCAACAGACUGGGGUACGACAUCUUUGCCCAUACAAAAGCUCAAAAGGCGGGGCACUAAUAUUGGAGUGGAAACUGUUGUUGUAGGAGAACUCUGCAAGAGGUAGGUAGGAGUCCUAAAUCCCACCAAAAUUAAUGACACAGACUCGCAACAUAUCCUCGAGAUUCUGAAUGGUCGGUUCGCUCUGGCCGUCGAUCUGCGGAUGAUAGGUUGUGCUGAAAUGCAGCCUCGUACCCAGUUCGUCAUGGAACUUCUGCCAGAAAUGGGAGGUGAACUAAACAUCACGGUCUGAAACAAUAGAGGCUGGAACCGCAUGGCUAGCAACGAUCUCAUGAAUAUACACAACGGUCUACUUUUUGGCCGAUGAGCUCUCCCAAAUUGCCAGAAUUGGGCACUCUUGGUCAAUCGAUCCACGAUGACCCAAUUAGCAUCGAAACCCUUUGUCGUCUUCGACAACUUGGUGAUGAAGUCCAUCAAAAUGUACUCCCAUUACCACAUGGGAACCUCCCAAGGCAGUAGCUUGCCGUGCGGCCUCUGAUGCUCGGCCUUGACCAUCUUACAGGUCACGCACCUUUCGACGUACCAGGCAAUCUCCCUCUUCAUGCAUGGCCACUAAUAACCCAGUCUCAGAUUCUGAUACAUCUUGGUGGUCUCUGGAUGGAUAGAAAAGCGAGACUUAUGAGACUCCUCCAACAUAAUCUGCCUGACCCCACCAGACACAUGAACACACACCCGACCUCAACAGGUCAACAAACCACGACUGUCCGACACAAAUUUGGUAAUCUAACUCUUGAUCCUCUCAAUCUUCCAAUUCUCCUCUCAAACACCCUCAGUCUGAGCCUCCCUAAUCAAACCCAUAAGUGGAGAAUCCACAUAUAUCCUCAUACAUGCCACCUCAAGAGAAGGUCCAGUUGACUUGCAGCUUAGGGCAUCCGCCAUCACAUUCGCUUUACCCGGAUAAUAAAGGAUCUCGCAGUCAUAAUCCUUGACUACAUCCAGCCACCUGUGCUGCCUCAUGUUCAGGUUCGGCUGAUCCAUAAUAUGCCUUAAACUCUUCUGAUCGGUGUACAUAGUAUAGUGGACCCCAUAAAGGUAGUGUCUCCAAAUCUUGAGGGCUAAAACCACCGUCCCCAACUCAAGAUCAUGCGUGGGUACCUCGUCUCAUACGGCUUCAGUUGCUGCGAAGCAUAAACUAUCACCCGUCCUCUCUGCAUGAGGACUGCUCCCAAGCCAGUGAUGGAUGCAUCACGGAAAACCAAAAAAUCCUCAAUUCCCUCUGGGAGGGACAAAACUGGGGAUUUGCAAAUUCUCUUCCGAACUGUCUCAAAUGCAGACUGCUGCUCAGGGCGCCACCGAAAAUCCACCCCCUUCCUCGUCAGAUGAGUCAGGGGUACUGCAAUCUUGGAGAAAUCUUCUAUAAAUGUCUAGUAGUACCCUGCCAAACCCAAAAAAACUCUUGAAAUCCAAGGGAGAUUUCGGAACCACCCACUGCAUCACCACCUCGAUCUUGGCCGGAUCGACCGAAAUCGUAUCUUGGUUAACGAGGUGUCCAAGGAACUGAACCUCUCGCAACCAAAACUCGCACAUCGAGAACAUAGAACAAAGACGUUCUUGCCUCAAAACCCCUAGAAGCUCGCGAAGAUGCUCCUCAUGCUUCUUCCUGGUCUUGGAAUACACCAAGAUAUCAUCAAUGAAUACAAUAAUUGAGCGAUCGAGGAUCGACCUGCAAACCUGAUUCAUCAAAUCCAUAAAUAUUUCUGGUGUAUUGGUGAGCCCAAACGAAAUCACCACGAACUCGUAAUGCCCAUACUGAGUUCGGAACAAGGUAUUCUCCACGUCCUCCUCCCUCACCCUGACCUGAUGGUAACCAGACCUCAGAUCUAUCUUGGAGAAUUAAGAUGCUCCCUACAACUGAUCAAAGACGUCAUCAAUCCAAGGAAGGGGGUAACGGUUCUUCACCAUUAACUUAUUCAACUCUCGGUAAUCAAUGUACAUCCGGUGUGAACCAUCCUUAUACUUGACGAAUAAAAUUGGUGCUCCUCACUAAGAACUACUCGGACGGAUAAAGUGCUUGCUUAGCAGCUCCUGCAGCUGAGAUGAUAGCUCAUGUAUCUCAGAGGUGCCAAUCAGUACGACGCCUUGGCAAUAGGGACCACACCUAGCACAAGGUCGAUCCUGAACUCGACCUACCUCUCAGGAGACGCACCUGGUAACUCCUCCGAGAACACAUCAGCGAACUCUCUAAUGACUGGAACAUUUGAAACUAAAACCUGAUCCCUGCCCCGCAUAUCCAACAUAUACACCAAAUAACUCGUACACCCAUGCUGAAUAUACUACCAAUCCCUAGCUGCCGAACAAAAUCGUGAACCCAUCCUAGUGCGCUCUCCAUAAAUAACCAGCUCUCCCUUACUUGGGGUUCGAACCACCACACGCUUACCCUCGUAGUCGAUCAUGACACAUAAAUGACUCAGCCAAUUCAUACCCACAAUCACACAGACAUCACCCAUGAGAAUAUGGAUCAAAUCAAUCAGAAAGGAUACCCCGAAGAUCUCUAGAAAACAACCCAGAUAAACUGAAGUAGCAGAAACCUCAUGUUCGCUGGCUAUAGAAACUCGAAAUGGACACUCCAACUUACCUAUAGGCAAAGCAUACUCCCUACUAAAGGACCGAGAGACAAAAGACUGACUCACACCCAAGUCAAGCAAUACAAGAGCAGGCAGUUAGUUCACUAACAACAUUCCUAACUGAGGUACAAACAUAUGACCAUAGAACAAUCAUAAUCAAUAAGACAAGAGAUAGAAAAAUAACAGUCCCAACAUCUAGUGCUGCUCUGGCCUCCUCGGCAGUGAGAUGGAAAGUGCGACCUCGAGCCCUCCGGGGCUCCGCCCUGCCCUGACUCCCGUCAGUGAUCCUCAAUGUAGCUAGCGUGGGAUCCUACACCGGCUAGGCGAAGAGCAAUGGAUAGUUAACCUUCACAUGGCCAACCUAAUCAUAGUGAUAGGAGAUCCUCAUACUUUGAACCGGGGUGGACUGGAGGAAAUACCUAGCAUAAUGUCCCUCAUUGCCACAUUUAUGGCACACACCACCAGAUCGACAAGCUCCGCUAUAAAACUUCCCACACUUCCCACAAGUGCGGCCUUACUGACCUCCAGACCUAGAAUUGGCGGCUGUGAACCGCUUUGCCACCGGCUGCGACUGUGUCGGGGCCUUCCUUUGCUCUCUUAACUGAAACUCUAUGUAAAUCUCAAGCUGCCUGGCAGCCUCCUGUAACUCCAGCAACGUAUCACACCGUUGAGUAGAAAUAAACUGUCUAAUGUCUAUCUUGAGCAUGCUCAGAUAACGGGUCAUCUGAGCCUACUCUGAAGCAAACUCAGGGCAAAACAUCGCCCUCUCAGUAAACAUCUAGGUGAUCUCCAUCAUUGACUCCGAUCCCUGCCCCAGGUCUAAAAACUCUUGAGCCAACCUCUCCCAGUCGACCCACGGAAUGUAGGGAGUACGAAACAUCUCUUUGAACUGGUCCCAAGAUACCUCAACCCUAUGCUCAUCAAAGUAAGAACCCGUAACAAGUCGCCACCAAUCUUUCGCUUUAGACCUCAGAAGGUUCAUAUCACACUUGACCUUCUGGUCAGCAGGGCAUAAAAAAGUGAAGAAACACCCCUCCACAUCAGAUAGCCACCUCAUGGCUAUGAUCGGGUCCUGGACUCCAUCAAAAGUCAGUUGCUUCGUAUUAUCAAAGUCUCGAUACUGAAAAACCCGCGUUGUCCCAAAACCUACAGCCGCCAUGGCUGUGAAGGCUACAACAACAGUAUUCUCAGCAAUGGCUCCGUAGACAUCAUCAAAUAACUCCAUCACUCUGGUCUUGAUACACCCGAACAUCUCCAGAAUCUGAUCUCGGAUGAUGGCCAUAACCACCUCAUGGAGGAUCUUCCUAAUCUAGGCAUCUAACUCAUCUGAUCUCAUCUGACUGUCAGUUCCUGAUCUCAACCCGAAUCAAAUCUCAACUUGCCAAGUAGUCACCAUAUUGAAAUACACCAGGAAGAUAUCAAGUAAUCCACCUAAAUAACAGGGAACUAACGCCUGACGCUUUAAAAUGUAGAUCUAAUACCUAAGAGCUGGAAAACCACGUAAAAUAGCUAACUUUACGUCCAUACAUGUCACCAAGAGGCUCUAAAACUCAAAGAAGGCUUAAUAAGGGACCUAAGGCAUGAAGGGGGCCUAGAACAUGAUAAAGCUUGAAACUUUAAGCCUAAAGAGGCCAUAAAACAUCCAAAUCCGAAGAGAUAACUUCAUGAAAAGCUCAACCCCAAGAACAAUCCCAAAAUGAGCCAAAUAUGACAAUAAACUUCCAAGGAAGAGAUCUAAAAAAUAGAUAAGCAAGUUGUCAACUUUUUACCUCAAAAGAACUGCAAUACUCUAAGAGUUUCAGGAUCUGAAACCUUCCCUUCAAUCUAGACACUUCCAACCUCAGGCUCCUUCAAAAGAACACCAAGAAAUCACUCUUCAAGCUCACACACACACAUAAAUAUGGGAGAGGAUGCGCAAACCAGGGUUUUCUAGAUAGGGGAGACUGAUAAGGAGGCCACCCAAAGGGUAUAAGGACUUUAAAUAGGGUGCAACACCCAAAAAAUUAGGGUUUCUUAAUCAGUUGUACGCUUAGCGUACAACUGAGUACGCCCCGCAUACUCAGGAAGCUUAGGCUUGACAUUGUUUGGGCCUUGUUUGGGCCGCAUUCUUGGACUUUGUUGCUUUGGGCCUUUUGGGUCAUCUGUAAUUAAGCUUUUGGAUUAAGGAAUCUUAGUGGGCUUUAGGGUAAGGCCCAUUUGGGGAUUUGGUCCCAAUUUAGAAAAUUGGGCCGUAAGUAGGCCUUCGUGGAUCUAUUGGUUUUGGGCCUUAUUAGUUUAUGGAUUUAGGCCUUAGUUUUGGAUCAAGCUAGGCCAGGGUUAAGAUGGUUAUUUUACCGCAAGUAUGGAUUAUUGAUUAUAGUUUGGAACCGCCAACUGUUGAUUGGGUGUUAUUUUGUACCGAUAGCUUGGGGAGUCGUCAAUGCAGCAACUAGGGAUUUCUUUCAAUGAGAUUCAACAUUCGAGGUGAGUUUCCUCACUAGGAUUAGUGGGUCUAAGGCACCAAUGUCAUCCCCUAUUUACUAUGUUAGGAUGCUAGCAGUCUGCGUGACCCUUGCAUGUGUUAUGGGCUGUUAUGUAUAUCGGGUGGGGAUCGAUGCCAAGCGAGGCCUAAGGACUGAAACAUAUGCUAGUGUUUAUGAUCAUUAUAUGUGUUAACAUGAUUAUGUGAUACUUAUUGUAUGUGUAUAGCGGGCGAGUCCCAGUGAUAGGCGAGGCUUGAGAAUAACAUAUAUGUAUACCGAGCGGGGCUCGAUGAAGGGCGGGGCCCAAUGCCGUGCGAGGCCCGAUGUCGGGCGGGGGCCUAAUAUGUGAUUUAUUAUGUAUGGUAUAGGGUAGCUUGGGGAACUAACUAAGCUUUCUGCUUAUGGUUUUCAGUUUAUGUUUCAGGUACUUCUAGUGGCAAGGGGAAGAGCUUGGGGUGACUGGAUUGCACAAACCAUAUGGAUUCCGUUUAUGGGACACACACUGAUUUUCCAUAUGUUUGACAUACUUUUUUUAUUUGGGUUGUAUAAACAACGAUUUGAAAUACAAUUUUCUCUUGAAUGAAAAAUGAAAUUUUUGGGUCGUAUUUUUGGGUUGUUUCAUUAUGUUUAUGGUUUCAGGUACUUCUGGUACGAAAGGAAAGGGCCCGACGUGAUUGCACAACAUUCCCCUCAUGUUUCUGCACUUAUAAUUACCGUUACUCUGAUAUUUUGGAUAAUUUGUAUCAUAGUCGUUUAUGAGACAUUUGAGGUAUGGAAUUGAUGAUUUUAAAAAUGAAAAAAAAAAUAUCACUAUUUUGGGACGUUACAAGUUAGUAUAAAAGACUUGUUUUGAGGGAACCAAGCACACUUUCGGGUGUGUCAGAACUCAAACUGAGGAAAUGAUAAUCUUUUCAACCACGAUGGAUGGGAACCGCUUCUAUGUGACUUUUACCGAUGACUAUAGUAGAUAUGGGUAUAUCUACUUAAUCAAGCAAAAGUCAGACACCUUUGAAAAGUUCAAAGAGUUCAAGAAUGAAGUCGAGAAUCAAUUAGGCAGGAAAAUCAAGAUGCUUCGAUCCGAUCGAGGAGGAGAGUACCUAAGUCUUGAAUUCCACGAUUAUCUCAAGGAGUGUGGAAUAGUUUCACAAUUGACGCCUCCUAGGACACCGCAGUUAAAUGGUGUGGCAGAAAGGCGUAAUCGAACCUUAUUGGAUAUGGUUCGCUCUAUGAUGAGUCAUGCUUCACUACCAAUCUCUUUUUGGGGGUAUGCCUUAGAGACUGCCGCCCAUAUCCUUAACCGAGUCCCUACUAAGAAGGUUGCCAAAACACCUCACGAGAUGUGGACAGGGAAAGCUCCCUCGUUGGCACAUAUCAAGGUUUGGGGUUGCGAGGCUUUCGUAAGACGAGAUACUCACGACAAGCUUGAACCUCGAAGUGAGCGAUGUAUUUUCAUCGGCUACCCGCAGACAUCCUUUGGAUAUCUCUUCUAUAGACCGAAGGACAAUGUUGUCUUCGUUGCGAGGAGAGGAGUUUUCCGAGAGCGAGAACUCAUAAGCCAAGGAGACAGUGGGAGGCAAAUCGAGCUUGAAGAGAUUCAAGAGUCG
rnacentral:lncRNA from 1 species